UUUGAUAGCACUACUGAGCUCCGUUCAUCCUAAAAUUUUAACCAGAUUUUAUUUAAUAUAUUUUAAGGUUCCUCAUAAAAUUUCAGCUCAAUCUGAUUGUCGGAUUUAAAAUUACGUCCAAUAACGUAAAACUAGUCAAAUAAUGAUUUUUCAUCAAAUUUCCGAAUUUCUCUAAAAAUUCUGAAAUUUUAACCCAAGCUAAGGAAUCAUAUUAGAAGGCUCCACGCAAAUUUUCAGAAUUUGCUGAUAACCCGAUCGAGAGUUACAAAUUUUUUUCUUUUUGUUUUACAUGAAACUAGUUAAUUUAUAAUUUUUCGCCUAGAAGUUUUACAGUUAGCCAUGCUACUCGUCAUUAUUUUAUUCCUAAUUAUCUUGACUCUAAUCUUCUGCCCCUCCCUCCCCCGAUCUUUUAAAUGCAAACAAUUUGGUGUAGUUGAUAAAUCACUUUUGCUAAUUUCACAUCAGAAAGUUGUAUAAUUGCUUUAUGGUCAUCUCUCUCAUAGAGGUUUUUUUUUUUUUUUUUUUUAUCUUGCAUCUGCAUUUAUCUCCUCCCAUCUCCACAAUUUCAUAAAGAAAACCUCUAUUCACAGAAAGAUCAUAUUAGACUAAUUGGAUUUCCUGUUUCUACUUUCUGUUUAUUUAUUUUAGUUACACACUCCGUAUGUGUGAAUUGGUCUUCCUAAAAUUUUACUAACCAGUUUUACACCUUCAAACUAAUGACCUGGCUUAUAACUUCAGCACUUAUUCAAGAGUGAAGUUUUUCCAUCAGCAACGUUGCUGCUUUAUCUUGUUGUCUGGCAGAGUUCCUUGAUGAAAGAAGAGCCUGAUGCUUCUACUCCUUUCCAGGUUUUUGAAGACAUGCUUGAAGAUAAUAUCUCAUCAAGGUAUAUUUAUUAUAACAAAGAAGCAUACUCAAAGAUGAUACUUCAACUCUAAAAGUUGAUAUAGCAAGUAAGAGUAAGGAUAUAGAGCUAAGUAAUUUUUUGUUCUUUGAGACUUAGAGUCAGUGGAGCAGAAUGAGCCUCCCUUCUCUCCUUCUAGUCAAUAAUCUUGGAGAGCCUAUGUUCCUGCCUUGAUCAAGACUCCUAUCUUAGUUAUUCAAGAAAUAUCAAGAAAUUUUCCAAAAUCAUUUCUUGACAAAAACAUCUCACCCACCUUAGCCCUUGUCAAAUCCUUCAUCCCCUUAUGCCUUGCUGUAAAAAAUCACGGGACCAUCGACAGUUAAAAGGAUGAAUCCACUCUUAGGAAUCGUUAAAUCCUAUAAAUGAUUAUUCUGAUAUAUUAUAGAAAUUUUUUGAAAUGUAAGAAUCAAUUAACUCUAUGUGGUGAAACAAAAUAUCUCUCAUUCCCCCCUCGAAUAAAUUCUUCUUUUUGGUUUUGAAAGGAAUGAUCUUAUGUUGGCUUGAGCAGUGCGCUAAUCCUUUGAAUCUGGUACUAACAGGUAUCAUACCACCUAGAACGAAGUUUUCUUUCAGGCGUUUCAGCCAAUCGAUACGACUGCGGAGAGCAGCUUUUGCUAAAACACGAGCAGUUUCUUAAAAACUCGCUUCGGAUAUGAAACUUUGAGCACUCAGAGAUGCUCUUGUUAUUCCCAGCACAGACUUGCCCUCGGGGUAAAAUCUAAAACUUGGGGCAUCUUUUAUAUGGAAAUUUAGAAUCAUAACUUGGUGUUUGUCUAUGUAUAUACAUAUUUAAUUCUUAUGAUUCUUUGCAAAAUAACUUCUAAAAGGUUAAGGAACACUUUUAUUACCUAAAAGAAAUGGCCUAGUAUAUAUUACAUGGCCAUUUUCUUUUAUUCUAAUGUGAUUGAUUUUUGCUCAUCACUCAGGACUGGAAACUUAAUUGUCCCAGACCUUGGUGCAGAUGUAAUGAGUGAUGUAACCUCUUCAUCAGGACCAGUGAAAUUGGAAGACUUGCAAUAAAUCCUGAGUAAUAUUGGUGCUGGAGGAAUGUUCUGCUCAAAUAUUGCAAUUGACCAUAUCCUUGUUUGCUGCACUUAGGUUGGCCCGCGUGAUGUGAUGAUAUAUGUUGCAGGUAGUUCGGGUGAUCCAGAUGAAGGUAAUUAUUAAUGCUUAUUCUAUACGUACUGUAAGCUGUGAAAGGAUUGUACAACCUUUUUUCUGCUAAUUAUGUGCUCUGGCUUGGGAUUAGGGGAUAUACUGAAGCUUGAUUUGAUAAUGCCAUUGAUUGAGACAUUGCCGCUUGAAGAAGGAUUAACAUCUCACUUACCUGAGGUAUAAGACGGUCUUAUGUUUGGGAUUUCCUGUGUGUUUUAUGUCGGUGCAUUCUGAGGUAAUUAUGAGGUUGCAGGGUCACUGCACUCCAGAGGAUAUUUUAGACUUGUUGCAGAGUCCUCCUUUCCGUCAGCGAAUGGAUUUUUUUACUUAUGUAAGAAAUGCGAGGCUGAUUCUUCUUGUUCUGUUUCUUGUCCUUUUGAUGAUAGCCAAUUUUACAAGGCUUAACUCUUCUUUUUGUUUGAAGGUUUUCCGAACUGGACAUAUAGAUUUGUCUCAAUUUAGGAUCAACCUGUAGCAUAGCAAUGGUUCUUAAAUACAUGAUUUUCUCUUUAACAAAUCAUUUACUCAUGUUCAUCAACAUUAACUAAAAUUUUUAGUUAAUUCUUUCUUAGGAAAUUCUGAUUAGGAUUGAUUAUAUAACUAAUGAUUAUGGAAACCUGUUCGCCUAACCUGAACAGCCUCUUCCUCGGCAAUCCUGGCUUAUCUUGAUCUGACCAAUACUGGUUUGGGAACACACCAAUAUAUAUAUUUUGGAGUUUCAAGAAGCCACGCUCUAUGUAGGCAUGCAGAGAACUUCCCACACCAAAUCAUAAUCAAAACCGAUCCCCUUUAGAUUUAAUUUAUUUUAUUUGAACAUAUAGUCUGCCAAACCCAAUCCAGAAUACCAAGGCAUCCUCUUAUUAAUUCACGUAGAAACUACUAGUCCUAAGCUUUAUAAAUCCAAUCAUAGAGCAAUCAGUAAAGAAACUUCAUUAUUAUAUGUCAUAUAGAAACUAAAAAUAAAAACAAAACACAAAUGAAAAUCAAUAUAACAUUACAUUUAAACUUGUUUAAAUCUUAAAACUAGAAUACAAAACGAUGCUAUGAAAACCCAAACUUGGAUAAAAUAGGAAGAUUAUCCACAAUAAAAUAAUAGCAAUUGUUGAUGCUCACCUCAAUAAAGUAAAACCAAGCUUGUUGCUGCCAAUAUGAAUUUAUGCACAGAAUUACACUCAUCAUCAAUAAUACCAUGAUGUAUGCAGCCCCAAAGGUCACAUAGAAAACCUUCAUAUCUAUGAAACCACCAUUAUCUUCGUUGUUCUUGUUCGUUGAAAUUGGUAUUGGUGUUGGUGUUGGUGAUGGUGGCAUAGCCGUAACACAAAUUUUGGGUAGCGGUUCUCCACAAAGAAAAGGAUUGUCCUUAUAGCAACUCUCCUCAAAAGUAGCAAACUGUGCAACUCUCGCAGGAGUCUUGCCGGAUAGAUUAUUAUGUGCCACAUUGAAAACUUCUAGAAAAAAUAGCUCAGUAAGUCGAGGUGGGAUUUCUCCAUCCAGUUUGUUGUAGGAAAGAUCCAAGCUUUCUAUUUCCUUUAAGUUCGAAAAUGUUGGUGGAAUUGGUCCAGUCAAACUAUUGUGCGAAAGGUUCAAUACCUUGAUCAUGCUAAGGUUUCCAAUUUCAGGAGGAAUCUCUCCAGUGAAAUUGUUGCAUGAGAAAUCAAUUCCUGUGAUGUACUGGAUAAUGUCGCCUCUAUAAGAAAGGGAUGCAUUCUUCAUUGUAAACUCGAAAGAUUGUUGUGAUGAGGACACAGAAUCACGAGAAUUGUUUUGUUGUGGGAAAUGAUGAGUAGAUAUCAUCCAAGAAAGGAUGUUACCAGAAAGGUGGUUGUGAGAAAGAUCAAUCAGGGUUAAUUGGUCUAACCUGCAUAAUUGAAUUGGGAUUUCACCUUCAAGAUUGUUAUAACUCAAGAGUAGAAAUCUCAAGUUAGAUAGCCUGUCUAUCCAUUCUGGAAUUCUACCAGUUAAAUCAUUAUGGGAAAGAUCUAAUGCGAAUAUCUUAGAGGAGUCAUAAAAUGCCAUUGCAAUCGGUCCUUGCAACUUAUUUCUAGACAAAUAAACAUAUCUCAAUUUUGAAGAAGUUCCGAAUCUAUAUGGUAAAGGACCAGAGAAAUUGUUCCUUGAUAGGUCCAAGAAUUCAAGAGAAGACAUAUUCCCUAUCCAUCCAGGGAUCUGCCCUUGCAAACUAUUGUUCGAAAGUAUUCUUCUAGUCAAAACAUUGUUGGACAGGUCUAACACUUGUAGCGAGCUAAUGUUACCCAACGAGGAAGGAAUGCUUCCAUUAAAAUCAUUAUCUGACAUCAAUAAAACUUCUAACCUUGGUAAAUGAGCUCCGAUUUCUGAAGGAAUUUGGCCUUGGAAGUAAUUCAUGGAUAUACUUAGGAAUGACAAAUUCACAUGAGAAUUCUUUGGCAACAAGAAUGGACCCGAAAGAGAACAGUUUUCUAAAUAAAGAUCUUGUAGGUAUGUGUUGUUCUCAAUCAACCAAUUUAGAAACUUUCCCUUUAUUUGGAUGUUUGUAAGAUCCAUAUAUUGUAGGUUGAACUGAUGGUAAAGAAACUUGGGAAAUGCUCCCGCACCUUGUCCGCGACAACUCAAAAGGAGGUGCUCUAACUGGAAUUUUGGGCUCAGAUUAUGAUCAUCUUCUUCUGCAUAUAUUUCAUUACUUGAACCAUCAAAAUACUUGAGUUUUGAAAGGUUGUAUAAUGGGCUUAAUGACAUAGGGAUCUUCAAGUGAUUGUAAGAGAGAUCUAGUUGUUGAAGGGAAGUCAAAUUUGCCAGACACGGAGGCAAGAAACCACUGAGAUCAUUGUCAUGCAUAUAUAGCAUUUGAAGAUGAUUUAAGUCACAUAGGCCUGAUCACAUUAUAAUUUAGAAAAAAUAAAGCUCUGAGUGUCUAAUGGAAAAUAUAUAACCUAGAGAGAGAGUAAGAGUCAUCAACGUUACCUAUGGUUUGGAAGAUGGUAUUGUCGAGAGUAUUGAAACUCAAAUCCAAGAAUUCCAAGUUCUUGAGAUUAAGAAAGCCUGCCACAAUCAAGAAAUUAUAUUAACGUAGAAGCAAUUAAAAUUAUAAAGGAAAUGAAAGAGUAGAGUCAUUAACCUUACCUUGGGCUGUAGGUAUUCGACCAUCUAGUCCGCAGCUCUGCAACCUUAAAAUUUUGAGAGAGGUCAUCGUUCCAAUAGCUUGAAAGAUGCUAUUAUUGAGAGUAUUGUAACUCAAAUCCAAGUAUUCCAAGUUCUUGAGAAAAAGGAAGUCUGCUACAAUCAAUAAGAAAUUAUAUUAACAUAGAAGGAAUUAAAAUUAGAAAUAAUUCAUUACUUAUUAAUCAUGGCUAAAAAAAACUAAAAACAUCAUGUAAAGUGAAAUAUUAUUAAUAUUAAAUGGAUGGUAGAAUUUUAAAAUAAUAAAGAUUUCAAUUGAGUUAAUUUCUAAAUUUGAAAUUUAAUUGUCUCUCUAUUUUUUAUAUAUUAUGAAUUUAAUUUAAUCGAGCAGGCAUAGAAGUAUAAUGAUCAAUGAUAAAUAAUAGUAGAGUUGAAAUUUGUUAAUUUACCUAUAGAAGGUAAAGUGUCGCUUAGUUCUUGUAAAGACAGGUGUUUUAGAGAAGGCAAUGCUCCAAAAAUUCGAAGGGAGUGUUCAUUUAGAGAACAACGGUCCAGAUAUAAACUUUGUAAAGAGCUCAAAUUUUGCAAAGCUGUUCAAAAGUAGCAAAUAGAAUUUUUCAAAUAAACCCAAAUAUAUAAACAUCACUAUAUAUAAUAUAACUUACCUGAUAUUCUUCCUCUAAAAUCAUUGUAGCUCAGAUAAAGUGUUGUGAGGUUUGGAAAUGCUCCUAAUGAUUGCAGUAACUGGAAGCUACUUUCAUAGGUUGUGAUAUUUUCUAGCCUUAGAGCACUCAAGUUGCUUAGACCUGCAAGUUAGGGAAGAAAUGUAUAGAAAAGCUUUCCAAAAGCAAAAUUAAUUAAUAUUGUAUGGAUGGGUUCAUAUAUUAUCUUCAUGCUACUAGGUAGGUAAUGUGAAUGUUUUACUAAUUACCUCUUGAGGCUACCAAUUUGUUAAUAUUGUUGCCGCUCAAAUCCAAGUCCUCCAAGUUGCUUAAAGAUUCUUGAUAUUUAUAAAAAUAAUAGUUAAUUAAUACACUACAAAACAUAAAUUGUGUUUUUCAAAAUUAAAUUUAAUAGAUAAUUAAAAAUAAUAGUAUAUAAAAAAACUAACCUUUCAAAUCUAUUAACCCCUCCAGUUUAUUAUAACCUAAAUAUAAUGAUUUAAGAGACGAAAACCCCUCCAAGAAUGAUAGAAUACUAUUAUCAAAGUGAUUUAAUCCCAAGUCAAGAUGCUCCAAAUUGCUCAAUCUCUGCUGUUCAUAACUACCUAUACAAAAAAAAAAAAAAAAUUAAGACUUCAUGUAAAGAAUUAAAAAAAUAUAUUAUUGAAGUAAUUUAAUUAUGAUUGAUGUUAAGACUUCAUGUAAAGAGGUUGAGGCGGUGAAAUUAAAAAUAAAAUGAAAAUAAAAUGAGUAAUUAUUUCAGUGAUGAUGGCAUGAUUAUAAUAAUAUUGAUAAUGUAAUAAUAUUUGUUGUUGUCAUGAUCAUAAUGUAAGGAAUUAAACAACUCCUUAUUACUAAAUAUGAUUUCUAUUUUCUUUCGAUGAAUGAAUUACUGUACGGAGAACCAAAAUGAUACUAAUUAAACAACACCUUAUUUGAUUAAUUUUAAAAAACUAAAGUAAAUAUUUUGUAAUACGAGAGCAAACCUUUCUUCUCAACCAAAACAGCUAUACGAUUAUCUGACAAGGAGAGAGUGUUGAGUUGUUGAAAAGGAAGAAACAAGGAGGCAUUCAAGUACCAAUCUCCCAGUUCCUGAUUCCUUACGCUCCCAAGAUUGAGCAUGGUGACUCGACCUGUGCUGCUGCUGUUGCACUCAAUAAGUUCCCAAGAACAACAGUCGGCGUCACCUUUUCUCCAGGAGGGUAGGGAUGUGCCAUUGGGAUGGUUAAGAGCAUCUUUGAGGUGCAACAGAGCGAUUCUCUCUUCCUCCAAGCAACCAAGAGGCAGCCAUCCUUGCAGGGAAACCAUCAUUACUAACACCAUCAACAUCUGAAGUAGAAGCCCCAUCUUAAUAUCAAAUAGAAAUGCUGAUCAAUAUUUGUUAUAGAGGACAGGGAGGAGGUUUAGGCUUUUAUAGAGGACUUCACGGACCCAUGCCGUGGGAAAAACUGCACGACGGCAACGGUCUCCCAUCCCACGGACCGAUCUCGUUCUUUCAUUUUAUUAUACUUUUAAUCUGAAUAUCUUUUAGGCCGUGGGAAAAACUGCAUGAUGGAAAUUUCCUCUCGGACCCAACUCAUGGAAAAAAUGCAUGAUGGCACCAUCCAACGGACCCAACUCAUGGAAAAAAUGCAUGAGGGCACCAUCCAACGGACCCAUCUCGUGGAAAAAAAGAAGCAGGAUGGCAGAGGACGGCAGUGUCCUAAAAAUUUAACAAAAUCUGACCAAGUCGUUUCAGAAGCCAAGAAAGAACAUAAAAAAAAUGGAAUCACAUCAACAUCACUUGUAGUAUAACCCUUUCAAUCAGAAAGCUUAGAAACCAGGCUGGGUUUCUACGUGCACGACACUUCUCCAUUUAUAUCUUCUACAUUUAUAAAGUAAAUUUGUACUGGGUGAUUUUGACUGGGUAAUUUAACCUAUUUUUUUUUAAUUAAAAUUUAAAAUUUUUUAUUUAAAAUUAUUUUUAAAAUUUUUUUAAAUACAUCUUAAAAAAACAACAGCUAAUUAAAAACUAACUGCAAGGACCCCAACAGUGCUGUAUCAAUCUGUGAGUCAUGCUUGUGGGUUGACGGAGAUGACUAGACUGGAACGGUCAAUGAUGUAGUACUACUGUUCAACACGCGUCCUUUGUUUUUAAUAGAUUAAACCAGUCCCUAAUCAUUUAAUGUCCUGCAAUCAACCCCCCAAAUAAACCUAAUUCUCGAGAUUUCUCUAAAUUCCAUCCCUGCAGAUUUUUUAUUAAACCCUCAGCUUCCCGUGUCACUUCCAACGUGAUCCUUACUUUUAAAAUUCUUUAAUUUGCCCCUUAAUUCGCCUUCAAAAUUCCAAUUUCUUGCAAUUGAACUCCUGAUUGUAUCAAUUAGGCUUUUUAAAGUUUUUAAACCAAAUUUCUUUCUGUCCUUAAAAUAUUUUUAAAUUUUUAAAAAAUUAUUAGAGAUCCAAAAUUAGGUUAUUACAGGUUCCAUGAGAUGAGAAGAACUUGAUGGUGGUUAUUUAGAACCUCAAUGUUUCCUAAAAAAAUAGUUUUAAGCCAAAAAUAAUAAAUCUAAUCAGGUUUGAUUUCGGGUUUUUAGACCUUAUUUCGGGUAUUUUGAGUUGAUGGAUUGGUUUAUGAGUGUUUCAAGGGUGUUGGAAAAAGCCGUCUUGAUUUUUUAGAAUCUAGGCUUGUAGACAACACGUCGCCAUUUUUUUUUUUUUUGCCCUCAUUUGUUUUUUAUUGUAUAUAUAUAAAGUAUAAAUUUAAGAAAAAAAAUAUUAUUUAAUCCAUUUGAGUCCAUGACCCGGAUCACAGGUUUAACAAGUUAAGUCACAACGCCCGAGCUAUUAUUUAAAAAAAAUUCUUUUUUAAUAUGUCUCUUUUAAAUAAUUUUUAAAUUUUUGUUUCAAUUAAUAAAUUACUCACCAAUGAAUUGUUUGUUAUUUUUUUUAUUAACCUUUUUUUAAUAGAGAUUUUUUAAAAAUUAUUUUGUGUGUGUUUAAUUUUUGAAGUGAUUUUGUUUAUUCAUCUAUGAUUUUUUUUAAUCUUUUGAAUAUGAAAUUUAUUUUUAAAAAUAAAAAAAUUAUUUUCAGAUAAUAUUUCUAAUAUGUGCAGCGUUGUAUAUUUUUUAUCUUUUAUUGUAUUCAAGUAAUUUAAUGUGUGUGUCUAUUUCUAGUAUUGUUUGAUUAUAUAAUCAAAUAUUUUGAUUAGCAAGAUUCAACAAACACAACCGGGUAAUAUCUCAUCUUGCGUUAAAUAUCUUGAUCUACAUAUAUUUCUCGAUUCUUUCGGUUUUAUUUUUAGUUAGCUUUAAUGAUUUUUUUUAAUUUAUUAGCACUAGUUCUCGAUUUAUUUGAUUAUAUAUAUACAUAAAUUUUUUGAUUUAUACUUAAAAACUUUUUUAGCAAUAAAAAUACAUAAAAAAACCAACAUAUACAAUUUUUUCUAACAAAAAAUAUAAAUAUAUGACCCGCAACGAAGCGUAGUUAACGCAGCUAAUAACCUAAUAUAAACUGUUACGCGUGUAUCAAAGUUUAAGAUGAAAAUUGUGAUUUUUCAAAACUCACGAGUACAUUUUCGACAAAUGCUAGGGGAAAAUUUUCCUAAUUUUAAUUGAGUCAAAACCUUGUAUUAUUCAUCAGCAAGGUCUAAAAUCGUCUUUAGAUCGGAAAUUCUGUAUAGUUAGGACAACAGAUGAUUAGGGAGAUAUGAUUCAUGUGAAGGUUCAUCAUUGGUUUAGUUUCUUUCUCCAGUAUACCUUUUAACUGAAAAUACCAGUCCGUAAUAGCUCUAAACCUACUUUCCAUUCACCUAUUCAGCAUCACCUGGAAUCUUUCAUAAAGGGGCAUGUGUGGCAUUGAGCUAGAGGACCAUGGCAAGCUCAUGAGGGCUUUUGUAUUUUGUUGUUCAGAAUUGAAGGUGUUAGGUACGGCCCUGUCUGGACAAAUUUUACAGACUAUUUAUAUGGAUACUAUGAGUACAAAAUCAUUUCUCCUUGUGUCAGAAUCUCCCUCACUUUAAAGCCUUUCUUUACACUUCAUGUAGAAAUUUGAAGCUGCUGGGCUCAAAAUCUGUUUUUGGCAGAGAAAGAACUAGAAAGUAGGUAUUUUCUGCGUUACUGCCUUCAUCAUUGCAGUCUAACUAGCGCAAAUGUUGAAGUUUAUCUAUGAAUAAUAAUGCAAUGAGAAGGUUGCCACUUGCCACUUCGUUCAAUGUUUUGCUUUUGGUGUAAAUUGUGGUUAUAUGCAUAUUAUACCUUUGCCUAAGAUCUGAACAUCAAGCAACUAAAUCAGUACAGAGCUUGCUCUCUUGCAAAAAGCAUUUAAAUGCAUGUCUAAAGCUUAGAUAACUGGUAGAACAGAAAUAAUAAAAACCAGGCAUAGCUUAGACAUUUGAUCCAAUGUGACAUGAGAUUGUCACUUCAAAAUUCUAACACAUUCAACAUAUAAAGGAGUAUUAAUCUGACUAAAUAGAAAAACCCCAGAGUUGAAAUUAGUACUAUCUUAACAUUCUCAACUACAAUUAAGAUUCUGAAGGAGCUAAGCGUUUUCACAGAAACAGGAGAUACUACUGCUAAAGGGUUUACAGAAAUAAAAUGCAGGAUUAAAACAUCUCCAUCUUUUAGUGAUAGCAAACGCAGAAGGACCGACAACGACAGACUAUCUAUGCUGUGAUCUAUCUCCGACCUGAAGAGCAAAAAUUUGUUAGUUAAUAACUUUCUUUCUGAAGCUACAGAGAUUUUUCUGCAAAAGAUUGAAACCUGAGUACCAUUCCAAGUCCAGCUAAUUGAAACAAUGUCAAGGGCACAAUCAAAACACAGCCACGAAAAUUCUUCUAUAUAGAUAACAACUUAAGUGUGAUGCAUUCUGGUUCUAUGUGAGGUGUUGGUGGACUCAAAGUUCAACAUGGUAAUUCAUGAUAACUGUCCAACAUAUGUGAAAGAAACAUAAUAUUUCAUGAAACCCUUUGCUGUAAAAUUGCCACUGGAUAUAAAAUCUAGUUUCAUUAUUUCCAGUUGAAUCAUAUUCAACUGAUGCUUUUUUUUAAAACCUGAUAUGAAUAAUUGAGCUACAGACAAGAGAAGCUUUAAGAGAUUCAUAACUAACAUAGUUGAUGAUCAGAGACAACUUCCAUACUCAAAUCUUUUGGAAAAUAGAAACAGCUAACUUGACCUCAGUAGGUCAUGCGUCACCAUCUUGAUAUUCAGUUAAAUAAGAUUAAUGCAGUCAACAAUGAACACAGACAUACACUAAAAAAAAAACCUUAAAACAGAACAAAAAAUGUGAAAUGAUCUUAUUUUUUUGUGUAAUUUACCUACCUUUGGAUUUUCUUGCUUAAGAUUUUAGCCUUUUCCUGGAUCUUCCGCUCUUUAUGAUCAUACAGCUAGGUGAAUCAGAAGCAGGCUUGGAAAAUGAAUAGGACACUUCUGGUUUUUGUUUUGGCAGUUUAGCCAAGAAUUCUAGAUAAUCUUCAUCUUCCAUGUCUUCCUCAAAGUGUCCAAAUUGGUUACUGCUUACUGAAUCAAUACUACCAGCUGGGCAGUCCAUUUCCUUGUAUAUGGAUACAGAGAACCUGGAAUUUCCCUUGUAUUCAAAAACUAGCAAAUCUCCUUUCUUAAGAGAGUAAAAAUCUGCAAAAUCUUGCCAGCCUUUCUGAAACCUAACCAUACCAUCAGCAGACUUCAACAACUCUAUUCUCCAUAAUGUCCCAUUUGGAUCCUCAAGUGUUGCUGACUUUGACAAAACAUUUCCAAUUUUUCUCAGGAACUUUCUUGGAAUCCACUGACAAUGAACAUAAAUAAACGAUAAAAUAUUUCAUGUUGAACUUCAUUUUGUGCUUGUACAGGAAAAAACAUCUAUUAAAGAAUACUUACAGGCUUGUUUUCAGGAAUGUCAUCAUGGAUUCGCUUGAUGAACCGGUAUUCUCCGGGUUUAAACAAUGAGCCAUCCCUCUCUCUCUCUCUGCUAAACCCCAUGUUUUAACAGCUCCAAAAUGCAAAGUGAUCAGGGCUUAUGGUAAGUGGACUGAAGUAGUUGAAGAGCUGGGGUCUUUGGGGGGUUCAAAAGAUCAAGAGCAAGCAAUCCUCUUCAUUUUGAAGAAAACAAGGCAUUGUCUUUUAGUUCACAGUACUUGGUCUUGAAUUGCAGGACAGAAGCAAGUGAACAUGCGAGUCUUUCCUCUUUCUCGUUAAGGUUCUCCUCUCUUUUACAUGUCAGAAGAACUACUGCAAUAAAGUAGAAAAACUGCAUUUCUGCAGGUUUUGCAUAAAAGUACAACUUGUUAGGAGUCCAAUGAAAGGUAAAGUUGACAAUUUGGCAUGCCAAGAUAGUACUUUCAAUAUUUAUUCGUGAACUACUAAUUCCCUUUACUGUCUCCUUUAAUUUCCUGUUUGUGGGUUGGUAGAGAUCAGUCCUGCUGUUCCUUCAGCUGAAAAAGAAAUUGUCUUGCAGUGGGACAAUACUUUAUUAACUAGCAUGUCUACGUCUGUAUGCAUGCAUGUGCUAAGGUCAUAUGUUUCAGUACAUGAAACAGUAAAGGGCCUUGUUCAAAUGUUUAUGAUUCGUCUACAAUUGUGUGUAACCUUGCAGCAAAUGUACAUCUCUUUGAGUUACUAUUUCAUCAUGGCUGGAAACCGAGUAAAUAACAGUACAAUUGCACUGGGAUUUUCAUCAGAAAUUGUUAAUCAUGGAGUAUAGUAGGGUAAAAUAGAAAGUCUACAACCAUCCAAUCAUCUUGAUAUCAUUCCCUUGUCUUAAAUGAUUAUGUGGCAAGCCCAAUUGUGAGCUUUGGUUUUGAUUCUCCAUUUUGUUUACAUAAUAAAUGUCUAAGAUCAGUAAUUAGAAAAUGGGGUUCUGAGAAGGUGGAUUGACUAGGAAUUGAGAGAUCAUGCCAUACAUUCAUGCCUUUUGCCUCUAUCUUUGCAACUCUCUUCUUGUUACAGCCACAGUUGAUUCCUCAUUUUCAUCAUGCUUGUAUUGUAUCCAAUCUCGCAUUAUAGAAUACCUAGUUUUUGGUAAGCCUCCUGGUUUUUCUAUGCUGUGGUUAUUUGGUAGCCUUUGCCUUGUAUCGUCUUUUUAUAUAUCACAAUGGCUCUUUUUUCCCCAUGUCUUAAUAGUCUAGUCUGCCCUAUGCAUAUAAUUCGUUCCCAAUACACAGACAACUUGCAAGGCAUGAUUUCCUGCCAGAACAUAUACAGGGUCUGCAACCUUGCUAGGAAUCCUCAUGCCACUCUUUAUCUAAAAUCUUAUAGGGCAGCUCAGUGAAUGAUUUGGUGAAAAAUGUCCUUUACAGCUUAAUGGAUAAUGAUCGAUGCCCUUCGGAGGGAUUUUGUUUUUCUACUUACAAGUAACAAAGCUUAUUAACAUAUGAACCGAGGAUGAAUCAAGCAUUGAGUUUCUUUUUAAAUAAAUCCUUAGUCAAGUGGUUGAUAAUAGGUAAGACUAACUCAACAAUUACCUUCUCUCAUGGUGACAUUUUAGGACUGGACUUGGUUUAUGUUUGUCAUAACAGGAUCACUCUCUAACUAGGUGAACAACACAUUUUGAAAUGCUUCCUUAAAAUGAUGAGCAUCAGAGUGGAGAUGGAAGUAACCUGUCUCAAAGUUAAAAACACAAUUUGUUUACAGGUAGGCUAAAAAAAGAAGUAAAAAAAGAACAGAAAGGAAUUGUGAGACGGCUAGAAGACCACUUAAGUUUUGCGCUGCUGUUACCCUUUCUUUACACCUUUCAGGUAGUCAGAUCUUAUUCCCCACAACUGCUCAACUACUACUUUCAUGUCCGGUCGUUCGGUGCGAAUGGGUGCAGCACACUGGAUUGCUAAGGCAAACAUUUUGGAUAGUAUCUCUGCGUCCACCACUUCUUCCAUAAGCGGGUCCGCCAUGUCCACUACAUUUCCUUCCUCGUACUUCCUAAAGACCUGCACAAAUUACCACAUGAGAUGAAUGAUCUGGUAAGUUCACAGAUGAUAUUGUACAGAAUGGUAGCUGCAUUCAGGUUUUGGGAAAUUCAACUAGCGAAUUACACCAACAAGAACAAAAUAUUCAAUUUGAGGGCAUUUGUUUUGCAUAAAAUACUUUACAUGAAAAUGUUUUCUUAUGUUUUGUUUCUCAUAAAAUAUUUCAAAAAAACUAAUCAACUUCAAAUAUUUUGCAAUCAACUUUUAAACUUAGUUUAUUUGUUAAAAAAUAUUCAUGAAGUUUUAUAGAAUAUUUUACGAAUAAUAAUCCCCACCCCAACCCAUAUCAUCACUACUAUCACAACCACCACCACAUCAUAACCGUAACACAUUAUCAUUAUUCAACUAUAUUUGUACUUUUCACAUCAUUACUUAUUAAACAUCAUAAAAAAAUUUCACAUGAUAUUUUAUGGGAAAACAUUUUCAUGCAAGAGAUUUUCCAUCCGUAAAAUAUUCUACGCAAAACAAACGCCCCCUAAGAAACGCCCCCUAAGAAGCAGUAAUGCUCUAAGAAAAAGAGACAACAUGCUGUUUUGAAAAAUAUACAAAGGUUUUCAAGGAAAUACUCUGAUGUGGUUAGAUAUACUAUGUCCACAGAUAUAAAAAGGGGUCUAUCUUAAGAAACUCCCAGGCAGCAAACUAGAACUCUCAGUUCUGCUAGAACGUAGUCUGGGAGUCUAACUGAUCUUUUGCGUUGGUAUUGCUUGUUAACUAGCUAUCCAAUAUAAACAAGAAGCAAUUCAUCUUGCAGGCUCAACACUCAAUGUUAGCAUAACAACUUUGUGAGGAACAACGCAUAAACUACAGUUUAGAAAUCCCCAGUGACAAAAUAAAAUUAGACAACCACAUUAUGUUCGUUGAUCGGCACAAAGGAAGCCAAAACAUUAGAGAUUAGACAGGCUGAGAAUGGGGUCCAGCGUAACUCUCAAUGAGAGCUAUUGCUUAAGUUGGGCAGGACGAGGUCUUCUUGAAGCCUGAUUUAACACUUCUAGUUGCUUUUGAAAAGCAUGUACCAGAGGCUGGACCUGACUAAAAUUGGCUUCUAGCCACACAAAAUUUUGACCAUCUCAUUUACAGUGGUGGAGGUCACUACUAUCAUCAUCCAUGCUCAUUUACCAAAGGCUCUGUUCUAUGAGGAACAUGAUUUUUAUCCUGGGUGUGGUAAUUGUACAUGUUCUGUCCUGACACACUUAAUAAGUGCAAUAGUAACCAUCAAAUAAACAUUAUCAAUUUACAAGAUGUAAAGCUUACCCAUCUAAGUGUCACCCGCUCAUCAGCAGGUUUCUUCAUCUCCACAGGGCGCCGUCCUGUCAGGAUUUCCAGAAGUAAAAUCCCAAAUGAGUACACAUCACUCUUGGGGGUAAGUUGAUAGGUCUUCAUAUAUUCAGGGUCUAGGUAACCCAUUGUCCCCUUCACUUUGGUUGAGAUAUGAGUUUGAUCAGAGUCUACUGGACCCAUCCUAGCAAAUCCAAAGUCUGCCACUUUGGCUCUCAUGCUCUCUGUCAAAAGAAUGUUGGAUGACUUCACGUCUCGAUGAAUUAUUUGCUUCUCUGUUGUGAGAUAAGCAACAUAAAAGAAAUUAAUUAGAUGACUAUUAUACAAUGAAGAGUACAUGCAAAGAAAUAUCCAGACCCAAAAGAGCUCUCUGUGAGAUCACAGGGUAGCAAUUGGGUGAUAUCAAGCACCAACUUUGAGAAUUUAGAUAUUUUCCGCAGUCUUCUUGAAACUAUAGCUUUCCAAUAUAUGGUUCAGAGAUUUAUUUCCUCGUAAUGAGAUGAUAAUUGGUGAGAAAUGCAAUUGUCAAAAACAAAAACUAGGAUCUUGGGAUAGGUGUUGAAUCAGAAGAGGUGAGUGACCAAGAGCGUGAUAAUGAUCGGCAGCAUUUUGAUAUGAUAAACUUCUUUUGUUGGAAACUUAGAUUGACAGUUAGGUAAUUCCAUCUUCAUUACUUUCCAUCAAUAUUCCAGAGGAAGGGAGAGAAUAAAGGACACUGGUCACCCAUGAUAUUAGAAUGGAUGAGAUGACCUUCUGGUAACUUCUCUGACCAGGACAUGUUCUCAAACUGAGGAAACAACAAAAUAAGAGAAUAUACUGGGUUUUAUGUGUCUGGUACCAGAGGUGGGAGUGUUUAGUUAAGGAAACAAAAUGAAUGAAGUUUUUUAUGCUAAAUAAUUGCAGACUAAAUCUCCCAUGGUUGGUGCGCAAACAAAUUCUAAUCAUCUAAAAUUAUUAGGAGGCUUAUGAAGCUUUGAACAUAUAGCUUGUUAAAUCUAAUCAAUUCUCCUAAAAAUAUUAUUGCCACCAGUACGUGUGCAAAACCCAACCAUAUACAGUAAUAUAUUUUAAGUGCUCUUCUUUGCUUUCUUGGAAGGUCAUAAUUCAAGUUGAAUUGGCAUUUCAAUGCAUGAAAUUUCUCAGAAAUAAUAUAACCAACUGACAGAUUUCUAACCUGCAUAUAGAUGGAGAUAAGUUAAUCCAUGAGCAACAUCAAUGGAUAUUUCAAGCCGCUGGUUGAAAUCCAGGAUUUUGCCAUGCAGAACUGCAGGGAAUUGCAGAACUAUUAGAAUAAAGGUUGUUGUUGAUUGGAACUUUACCUCUCUUAUAAUUGCAUAUGCUUACCAUCCAGAUGUUCUCUGAGAGUACCAUUGGGCACAUACUCUGUAAUAAUAAGGCGUUCAUCUCCUUUAUCAACAUAACCAAGCAACUUCACCAGAUUCCGAUGAUCAAUUUUGGCCAGAAGUUCAACUUCACUGCUGAAUUCAGUUUGUAAGUUCACAAAGUAUUCCUGCAUAAUGUUUUCACAUCAACCAACGGUAGGAAAAUGUGAAACAAUGGCGCAAUCAUCAUGAAGGGUAUUGCGGCUUACCUUCUUUGCUCGUUUUAUGGCAACCAACUGACCGUUGUCUAGUUGGGCCUUGUAGACAAUUCCAAAGCCUCCUUCGCCUAUCUGAAGUGAUGGAGAAAAAUUACGUGUGGCUCUAGCAACCUGACUCAGAUUGAGAUGAACUGAUCCUAAUCUACUGAGUUUUGGAGAUGGAGAGAAUCUAGAAGGACUAGGUGGCACCCGAUGUGGAGUGGACAGCACUUUUUCAGAAGCAGGAUUCGCAUUGAACGAGGGUACUGAAUCCACUGCAAGACCAUAAUUGAUUGAAUUGUCAAUUAAAUCAUCGAGAAAUGGUAAAGAAAUCAGAUGAAUACAAAGUAGCAACAUAGCAAAAUUAUUAAUACAAAGAUGCUAAUGAACUCCCUAAUCAUAAAACCGUAUAUAUCUAUUUGGUGAACUCACAAGUUAUAACUUAAUGAUGUCCUUAAACUUCAAAUAUUUGAGAUACAGAUAAGAUCAUUUUAGACUCACGUGAGUUUGGAUCCUUUUCAAGAACAGUGUGCGUGGCUGGUUUCCUUUUCUUAUAUAGACACGGGCAGAGAAAACCACAACACAUAACAACAACUCCUGCCACUGCUAACCCAGCUUUAUAGGGAGUUGAAAGAGUUUCUGGAUCAUCCUUCUUCUCUUUUGGAGUAUCCUGACUAAGACCAUGACUUGUGGAUUCUUCUCUACCUUCCUUUUGCAGAAGAUUUCUUUCUCGCUUCAGAGGAAAGUCAGCUGCCAAAACAACAGUAAAUGAGGAACUUAUGUUGAUUGUUGGGAAUUGAAUAUUGGCUAAUUUAAACGAGGUACAAGCUUACAACAAUGAAUCACUCGACUUUUAAAUCAGAAACCUAAACAUGAAUCUUAGAUCAGCGCAUACCUGAAGAAAGGUCCGGGUCCAAUCCACUGGAGCUACUCCCAAGGUAGUUCUCAAAGAUACAAGCAUUUACAUCGAGGAAAUGGAAGGCCUUGCAAAAUGAUUCUUUGUCUUUGAGCUCCCCAUUAAUGUAAAACAAUUCAUGACCGUGAAAAUUUGAAUAGGCUAUAUGAUCAGAACCACAAACCUUUGAAUGUAUAGAAAACCUUGAGGCCAGUAUAAUCGGAAAUUGCACCAAUAACAAUAGAAUCAAUGCAUUCAUAGCCAUCCUCAAAGAAAAAUUGUGCUCCGUUUCAAUCUUUGGGAAUUUAAAAAUGAUGAAAACAUGUCUUUAUUCUGCAGAACUGCAGAAUAUACACAAAACUGCAGAAAUUCAACUAAUAUAGCUCACGCUUUCAUACCCAGAGCAUCCAACACUAGAAAACAGAAACACAAAAGCAACUUGAUGUUUAAAACCCACUAAUCUCUAUGCUCGCAAGUUCCAGCUAACCCAAUUAUUGACUAUCACGAUGAGACUCAGCUGAAUUGCUCAAAGCUCACCCCACCAAAUCCACAGAAGACAGCAGUCCAGAUAACAAAGUAACUGAAACUUCCAGUUCAAGAAUUCGAACUGCUUAAACAGGCAAGUUCAACUUCUCCCUGUUGCCACAAAAUCCAAAUAUUGUCUCCAAGACCAAGUUCACCAAAUUGAAAAAAAAAAAGGAAAAAAAAAACUUUCCAACCCUUCCAAAUUUGUUCUAAACAACAGACAAGUUCAAUCCCUAGCAACAGCCACAAAAUCCAAUCAAAGUUCUUCACAAACUGAUCACCGAACCAACAAAUAUUCAAGCCCCAGUUGCUACAACAGUUAUUGAUCAAAACCCCAGCUUUCCAAAAUAUGGCAAAAACCUCAAAGUGGAACCAAAUUCUCUUGAUUAACUGAAUCAAACCCAGAUGUAAAAACAGCCAAACUUCACAACCCAACGCUAAAAAAACAACAUGCCGAAGUAGUUUAACUUGUUUCACUCCUGACCGCCAAGAAAAGUAACAACCACAACGAAGAGCAGAAACAGCGUUAAAAAAGAGAGAGAUGGCUGUGUUGGCAGAGGAAAGUAAAAGGACAAUUAAUAUUAAAAAAAAAAAAAAGCAAUAGAUUAACAUCGGGAGUUUGAUAGAUAUCUUUUUAAAAUAUAUUAAAAUAAUAUUUUUUAUUUAUUUUUAAUAUUAAUAUGUUAAAAUAAUUUAAAAAAUAUUAAAUUAAAAUUAAAAAAAAUCAGAAAUUUUGUAAUGUCAAUGCGAAACAAUACGGUCUUAGUUAUGAUUAUUGUUUUGGACAAGAAAACAAAAACAAAUAUGAUUCUUAGUUAUAAGACUCGAUUAGAGAUUAAUUUUUGUGGGUUAAUUAAGUUAAUCUAUUAAUCAUAAAUUAAUACAUAUUUUAUUUAAAUAAUAUAAUUUUUAAAAUAAAACAAUAUUAUUUUAAUAUAAAAACCUAGUUUACAAUAAAAUAUAACCCAAAUUAAGCUAUAAAUUAGCUCAUCGGAUUUAUACAUGGAUUUUUUUUAUAAUGUCAUGUCAUUGCAAAAGACAAAAGUGUAGGAGUUGGACAUUAUUGACCGUUGGAAAACUCGCGGCAUUUGCCUGGAUUCCUCCUAAAGGGAGCCUUGUGCCAUUAUCUUGAAUAAUCUAAAGCUCUUAGUGUUGAAGAUGGAGAUUAUUGACCGUUGGAAAGUUCGUGUGCUUUGCUAGGAUUCCUCCUAGCAUGAGCGUUCUGGGUUGAUUGCUCGUGUAUCAGUGAGUUAUCUUUGAAUAGAAUCGAUUGUUAUGAUUUGUUUGGUAGAUUCAAUGAUAAUCUGUGGUCAAAUAUCUCGGAUAUUCUUUUGUUUUUAUUAUCGGGGUCAAAUAUUUCAGAUAUUCUUGAAUAAUUUAUAUAUCAACAUGAAUUUUUUCCAUGGAUUUUAUGUUUUAAACAAAAACAAAGAAACUAUUUCCCAAGGGAAAGUUACUGUGUUGUAGACACGUAUUAUUAUUCAUUGUAAUGGUAAAACUACAAAAUUGCCCUUGCAAAAUAAAUUCAUUGAAAUAGAUAUUGGGGGUAAUAUUAUAUUUUUAUGAUGACAUAAUUGUUUUUAUCAUAAUUUUUAACAUAUUUAAAUUACUAUCUUAGCACUGGAAUAAAAAAUACUUAGGAUUUUGUCUUUGGGGAAUUUUGGUACUUUUAUUUUAUUCGGGAUACUGCAAUUACUUUGGUAACCUUGUCGGGGAAAAAAUAUUAUUCUCUUAUAAGUGUUUUUUUUUAUUAUACAUUGGCUUUAUUGUAAUUUUUUAGGUUACUCAAGAUGUUAUUAUAAUUAUCAAAUAUUAAAUAUUAUUUUAAAAAAAGUAUACUAGCACCCACCAGCGUGUAGAGUCGUCUGGCCACCAAAUAUUGUCUUUUAGGGCAGCGUUUGAAAGAUCUCAACGUCAUAUUUGUUCGACAUCAGAUAAAAAAUCUUUACUAUAUCUUUACACAUACAUUAAAAUUAUUGAAAAAUAAUAAAAGAAUAUAAAUUUUAUAAUUUUUCAAAGAAACUCAUUUAAAAUUUGAAAGUUACGGCAUUCCAAAUGCUUAGAAUAUUCAAUGCUUUCAAAUUAAUAGACAUGAGAAACUUUUUUUGUGCCAUCUUUCUUAGAAUUCAGAAUACAAUGAGUGAACUUGUAAUUAAUGAUAAUAAAGUCUUUUUAGAUGAUUUUUAACAAAAAAUAAAAUAAAAUGUGCUAGGCAAUAUAAUUUUUAAGAUAUUUACUCAACAGUUAAAAAGAUUCGUGAGUUGAAAUCAUUUAUUCAAAAUAAUUUAUUUUAUUUGUAAAAGGAGGGAGUUUUAAUUAGCAUGAAAGUUGACAUGUAGUCGUCUAUUAUUAUCGAUAAAAAAUGGCGUAAAUUUUUUUUAUUUUUUUUUAGAUUUGAGAAACCCCACCCUCUGGAAAAACGUAUUUUAUAAACUCAGGUGAGCGAAUAAAAUCUCGGCUAUCCCAAACUCUUAUAAAAGGUACACGUCCUAACUUGAAUUCGAGAUCUGCUAUGCAGAUCUCAAUCCCAAAAAAAAAUAUGAUUGAGUGUCAAAAUGAUUUUCACUUGGAUUUGAAUAUGUUGCCAGUGAUUAGUGUAUUAUAUUUUGUGUAUUUGUUAUUAUGGUGAAAUAUAUUUUUAAAAAUAUUUUUUAUUUGAAAUUAACUAUAUUGAAAUGUUUUUUUUAAUAUUUUUUAUUGUUAACAUUAAUACAUCAAUAUCAUAAAAAAAAUACACUAAAAAAACUAUCAAUUUAAUGCACAAAAAUAAAUAGUGAGUUAAAUGAAAACAAUUAAAUGUUAAUGUGUGAUAGCAUCCCUUCUUCACAAGACCACUGUAUAACAAAGAUACCAAUUGAUUCGCACAAAAUCAUAAGAAGCACAUGGCGCAAAAACUUGCAGCAUGUGAUGGAUUUUUUUAACAACAUUAUUACUUCAUUUUCAUCCAUAAAAAGUGGUGUUCUUAAAUCUAGUGGGCCAAAUAGAUGUACUUGGUGACCUACCAACUCAGUCUUUGUUGGAGGUUGAGUUUCAUAUUAAAUAAUAAGAUAAAAAUUGAUAUGAUAUGACUCGAUUAAUUUGGUGGAUUAAUUUGUGACCUGAUCUGCUCAGUCAAAACACUAUUAAAGUUUAAAAAAUAAUUAGAUUGAUGUUGUUUGAACUUUUUUUAAAUAAAAUCUUUAAAUAACAUUAGGUUAGAUUGACAAUAAUUACCUCGCUUAACCAGUGAGAAAAAUCUUGAAUUGAAUCAUAUAUCGAAUCAAGUUUAAUAACUUUAAUAAGUCAAUGCUAAAUUUACAGGUGAAAGUUAAUUCAAAAUGUAAUAGAUUAUAAUUUAUAUAAAACUCACACCAUAUAACACAGUUGAAAAUAAUCCAUGUGGAUCCUCAACUUGAUGAGAAGAUAUACAAGAAAUGUAGGAAAGGAAUGUUGUCCAAAAUUCACAAAUAAAAUUAGACAAGUGAGAAAAAUAUGUAGAUUUUAUAAACAAUAAAUAUAAUAAGAAUAUGACAAUUUGCAACCAUAACAAAAAAAAAAAAAGGCUAACAUUAUUACUAACAAAUAUACAAACUUGUAUAAAUGAUCGAAUAGCAAUCCUAACAUGUAAACUAGUGUGUAAGAUUAAGCAAAAGCAAAAGGAGUGAAAAGGAGUGAUUACUUAUUGAAUUAUUUUAAAAUUAAUCAAGUUUUGUUAUUCUGAAUGAUCAAUUAUUUAUUUUUAAGAUUUUAUUGACCGUAAAAGGAAUUUUUUCAAUGAACCUCAGAAGAUUCCAACACUAUUAUUUUGUUCAAAUAGACUUCUAGAUAAGGUCAAAUAAACUCAAAUGUCAAAAUUUAGAGAGGAAGUAAAUAUUCAAAACCAGAAGAAAAAUGCUACUAAAUUAGGUGAGGAAUGUCAAAAUAAGCAAGUCGUCCAAAUAAAUGCAUGCAUUUUAUUUAAAAUAGAGUAAAAAAAAAAUCGACAGGAAGCGCAACGUUUUUAUUUGUAAUAAAUGCAUGCAUUUUAUUUGAAAAGAUCGUUCAAGUUUGUCUUGAUUCUUCGAUUAUUCUCUUUUCAUGCAAGUCUUGUGGACGAGGAGACGUGACUAUUUUAAGCAGUGAAGUAGAGACCGUGGGUUUGGUAGAAAAAGAAAAUACACACCAUGACGAAAUCUUUGAGGAAUGACUUCACACAAACUUCAUCCGGAUUUGAGAAUUCAGUAAUCAAGAUCUAGUUAGCAUUAUAUUUGAAAUUAAAUGGAUCAUCAAGUUCAUCCGAUUAAAAUCCAGUUAGAUCAACUUUGAGAUAUAAAAUAAACUCAAAACAACAUUCUUUUAAUUAUUUAUUAAAAUCUAAUAAAAAAAUAGAUUAAUCGAAUGAUAAUAAAAUAGUUAAAUUUCCAGAAUCAACUUCACAUUGUCGUUUCAAUCGAAGAUCAGCAAUGGCUUUCGAAGUUGUGGAGGUAGAGACCGGGCCAAAAAUCGACAGAAUUUGUAGAUUUAAUAAGGUUUUUAGAAUUGCGGUAACAAUUAUUUUUUAAAGUAUUUUUUUAUUUGAAAAUAUAUUAAAAUAAUUUUUGAUAUUAGCACAUCAAAAUGAUCUGAAAACAUAAAAAAAAAUAAUUUGAAACAAAUAAAAAAAAUAAAAAAAAAUUCUUUUCAAAUAAAGAUAUAUAAUGUCAUAACUUUUAUAUAUAUAUAUAUAUAUCAAUUUCGUUGAUUUUAAACUCAUUUGAUAACAUUACUUUUAAAAAAAUUCCAUGUCAUUACUUAGUAGUGUUUGUUUCAAUUCAUGUAAUGAUUUGACAAACUUAUAAACUUUUUUUUUGUCUAUUAACAACGAACCCCUCGAGUUGUUCUAUAUAUACUUCUUCAUCAAGGUCACAAUUUAAAAAUGCUAUUUUUAUAUCCAUUUGAUGUACUUCAAGAUUGUUAAUAGUUGCGAUGGCUAUUAACAUUCAUGUGAAAGUUGUUAUGGACAUGGGCGAACAUGUGUUAAAAUAAUCUAUACCUUAUCAUUGACUAAAUCCUUUAACAACAAGUUCAAUUUUAUAUUUGUUGAUAAUACUACCAACUUUUAUUUUUAUUUUGAAAAUCGAUUUAUAGACUAAAGGUUCAUUUCCAAAAUGAAGAUCCACUAGUUUUAAUGUAUAAUUAUUCAUAAUGGAUUCUAUUUUACCACUUAUUGUCUCCUUCUAGUAUAAAACUUCCAGACAUGAUAUUGUCUCAGAGUAUAUUCGAGGUUUAUUUUGUAAUGAUUAUAUUAGAAAAUUUAGAGAAAAUAUUUUGGUUGAUUUUGCUUUUUUACUUCUUUUCAACUCAAUUUUAUUAUCUUUCAAUUAAUGAUGAUUAUUUCGGCUAGGCUCGAUUGUUCUCUCAAGUAAAUGAUAUUUUUGUGUUUUAUUUUAUAGAAUCAUAUUUUCAAAUAAUGAAGUAUUAUUUUUUAAUAUUAUUUUUUAUAAAUUAUUAUAUCAUGAAAUCUUUUAUCACGGUGAUAACGUGAUAAAGGACGCAGAAUAUUUGGGGGUACGUGUAAAACAAAGUGCUUGACAGCUGCCAUGAUUAUUUUGCCCGUAAGUAUUGCUUCAUAAUUCAUAAAUGAUCUGUCAUCUGUCCCUUUUGUUGCCUGUGGGGAACGUUAACUUUGCCCAUAAUUGAACUCCCUAAAAAAGAGACGGGAAAAGGGAUAUUUGAAAGAAUGUGGGGCUAUGAUUGUUUAUGAAAAGUAGUUUUGAAAAAUUUAUUUUUAAAUUUUUUUGUGUUUGUUUGGUAUUAAAAAAGUUGAUCAUUAAAAAAUACUUUUCGGUCAAUAAAAACACUUUCCAGUCAAAAACAAAUUUAGUUUGGUUUCUCGAGAAGUGUUUUCCCUUUUGGCUGUGUUUGUUUUCCGGAAAGUGGUUUCCGGGAAAUCACUUUCCAAACUUUCAUGUGUUUAUUUGUCAUUAGAAAAGUUGGUCAACGGAAAACACUUUUCAAUCAAAGGAAAAUCUGGCUUGGUUUCCAGAAAAGUGUUUUCCUGAAAAAUUUAGACGGAAAACACUUUCCGGAAGUUAUGAAAAAUUUAGAAAUGUCAUUAUUUGCUGAUUAUAUCAAAUUUGAUCCUCAAAAUUUUGAUUGCUAUAUAUAAUUUGUUUUUAAUAUUUAUUUUUCAAUUUCAUCUCUUAAAAUUUAAUUUUUAUAUUAACUUUGGUCUUUAUUUUUAUAAUUGCUAUUUGCUUUUUCCUUAUCAUUUUUUUAUUAAAAUUUUUUAUCUAUCAAAUUUGGUCCUUAUUCUUUUGAUUGUUACUUAUUUUUUUUGAAAUAAUUUAUGAAAUGUUAAUUAUUAUUAUUUUAAUUUCUUCAUCUUUCAUUUUUUUUAAUUUUUUAGAUUUGAUCUCUAUUAUUUUGAUUAUUAUUUAUUUUAUUUGAGAUAAUUUAUGAAAUUAUAUUUUUUUUCAAUUUCAUUCUCAUUCAACUUUUUAAUUUGUAAGAUUUGUUCCUUAUUAUUUUAAUAAACUUGAGAAAAAUAAAACAUUAAUAAGUUAUUUUCCAGCUCAUUUUCCAUGACAUAACAGAACACUGAAAAAUGUUUUCCAACUUAUUUUCCAUUACACUACCAAACAUCGAAAAAUACUUUCCCGGAAUUCACUUUCUCAGAAUUUACUUUCCCCGGAAUUUACUUUCCAAAAGAAAACUACUUUCCAGCAAACAAACGGGGCCAGUGUUAGUUUUUAAAAUAUUUUUUUAUUUAUAUUAAUAUUAAAAUGAUAUUUUUUUAUUUUUUAAAAUUUAUUUUUAAUAUUUACAUAUCAAAACAAUAAAAAAAGUAAAUCUUAACUUACUUUGUUUUUUUCCAAACAAGAAACUGUUUGUUUUUGUGUUUUAUAAAUGUUAUUAAAAAAAUUAAUUUUUUUUAAUUAUAAUCACCAUUAAAAUACAGACCUUGACAUUGAUAUAACAAACUAGAUACCAUAUUAGCAUGAACAAAUAUCUUUAAGGAUUAAUAAUGGUUAGGUUUCCACAUCACCUUAACACAUGGGCUGACUGUUGUAUAAAAAGAUAGCCAAGGCUUUUUAGAGGUUGAUGGAGAUAUAACAGGAGUGCUGUCACUUUUAUUUUUAGAUAUUUUUUUAAAAAUAUAUUUGUUUUGAAAAAAUAUUAAAUUAAUAUUUUUUAAUAUUUUUAUUGUGCUAAUAUAAAAAAUAAAAAAUUAUUUUAAGCUGGAAGUAGUUUUCCCAUGGCAUGAAGUAUUUUUUUUUUAUUAAUUAAUGUGGGUGUUCGGAUCAGCUUGCGCACACCUCGACUAAUCCCACGAGCCCUGAAGUUAAUGACCAUAUAAGCUUCUAGUGGUCCUGAGGUUUGUGGGAUUCGAACUGGUAACUUCUAAGAAGUAAAUUUAAAGUCUGACCAGUUAAGCUACACCUCUCAAAUUAACAUUAAAUAUUUUUGAUAGAGAACAAGUUGGUCUCAAUCCAAUUUUAUUUUUUUUAUUAUGAAGAAAAAACUGGUCCAAUGGGCUAACAUUUGAUCCAUAAACAAAAAAUCUGGACCGGAUUAUAAUAUUUUUCUAAUAACAGUUGACCGAGAGCAAGUCCAGCAAAGCACAAUGGAAUUUGCUUAUUUAAAUGAUUCAAUUUUUUUAUAUAUCAAUCUCGUACAUUAAAAAUAUUCUUAAUGCUGUGUUAAGGUUUAGACUGAGGAAAUAAAAAAAGAAAUUAAACCUCCUUAUCAUUAUAUAAUUUUAUGUUUAAUCAUACAGGUAUUGAGUGAUCUAUACGGACACCAACCCCAUCAAUUGCAAUGAAUAAUCAAUUAAUGAAUUUUGACUGAUUUUGGGUUUCCAAAAAUCAUUUAAAAAUUCCUCGAUGGUGAUUGGUGAACCGAAUUUGGGAAGUUAAAUUAAAUUAAUCACGAAUGAAGCUAACAAUUCUCAUGAUGCAACCUAUAGCAUAGCUUUAAAACCUGAAUUCAUAUCGAUCCAGUUGAUAUAAAAACAUUUUUUUUUAAAAAAAAAUAAUGUAUUCAAUAGCAUUAUUUUGAUAAUUUUUUUUUAAAACUACCAGAUUGGGUCUCCGAGUGUGUGUUUGGAUAGGAAGUAGCUUUCGUUUUGUUUUUGUGGGACCCACAUGAAUAUGGUUGGAAAACAUGACAGAGUGUUUGGUUUGGUGGUAGUUUUUAGUUUUAUUUUUUGAGGCCCACAUAAAAAACAUGUAUUUCUAAUUUUUAAAGGUACGGUUUGUACUUUAAAAAAAAAAUCACCAUACCUCCAAUCCAAACACACAAGCAGCUUAACAGAUGUUAUACUUUUUUUUUUUAAAAAAAAAUACCUCCCCUCCAAACACACUGUAAUUAGAAUUUUAAUCUAAUCAGCUAUAUUUUUUAAUUUUUUAUUUCAAUACUUCGUUGGCGAAACAAGAAGGGUUUAUGGAGGCUAGGAUGGUUGCAUUGAGCUGGGCUUAUGGAGGCUAGGAUGGUUGAAACCAUGGAGGCCUAGGAUGGUUGCAUUGAGCUAGGCUUAUGGAGGCCCAGCAAUCGAAGGUCCAGGAUCCAUGAAACAUGUCUCCUAAUCAUGCUUCCCAAAAAGCAGUUUUAUUGAACAUGCUACAUGAAGCAUGGAACCCAAAAUUCCUUUGCCUUUGCAGACAAAUAUUUAGAAUGUUUUCUUACAUUUUUUUUAUAGAAAAUUUGAAAAAAAAAGAAGGAUAGCGUUGUAUUGAGAGUGACGGUCCAUUUAUCAUAUAUGUUAUAGUUUUCCUUGAAUAUAUUUUUGAGUGCUCGAUUCAAACAGUUUAAUUUUGAUAAAAAUUCAUCCAAACAAAAAAAUAAAAUGGACGAAACCAAGUAACCAGAUCAAGCAGAUCAAUUUAAUUUUAUAUUUUUAAAAAUUAAGUAAGUUUGAUUUAAUUUAUAUAUUUUUUAGUUCGACUAUGACAAGCUUUUAGACUUUUUUUUUUGAAAAAAAUAAUCAAAAUUUUCUAAUAAAAAUCAAGAAAUUAUUUAAUCAAGUUAAUUUCAAAUUAUUUUCUAUAAAUAUUAUGGAUAAUUCGUUUAAUUUAGCCACACAUAAUGCUGGCUACAUGGUAGGCUGAUACAUUCAGGGACCAUAAUGAACCACGUAUCGGCACUAAAUCCAACCAUUGCCAGCAAUUACUUUUUGUCUCGUGGUUGACUAAAGCGUUAACGUGGUUGAAUUUUUUUAAAAAAUUAAUUUUGUAUGUUUUUAAUUUGUAUUAAUAUUAAAAAAAAAUAUUUUAAUAUAUCUUUAAAUAAAAAAUAUUUUAAACUACAAUUACUAAAAUAAUUUUAUUUUGAGCUCAACAACGUGUGGAAAUCAGAAGAAGCCGAUGUACAGAAAUCCUAGCACCAUCGUAGUAGGUAACGAGAGCUCCACAAUAAAGUCCGUCCUUUGAAGAUAAAUUCAAGGAUAAGUAGAUGACAAGCUCCUCAUCCAACCAAUACCGGGUGCAGAAAAAUAUCUGGAAAUCAAUUGCGUAUAUUUUUGAGAAAUCUUUUCUCAUAAUCAAUUCUGUAAGAAAUGGUAAUUUCUUUUUUUUUUUUUUUAUCUUUAUCAAUAAUAUUGAUUUCAGUCGAUGACAUGAAUAAAUAUUUUUUUUGUUGUUUUUUAGGAUCAAUUAAGAGGGUUAUUCUAGGAUGGCUUGGUGAAAAAAACAUUGUUUUUUUUUUUUUAAAUAAUAUUAUUUUAGAUGACAUAGAUUACAUAUCAUUUAGCUCAUCUUAAGUGUAUUUAUUUUAAAAUAAUAUAUCAUUUACCUCAUAUUAAAUUUCUUGUGCCGGGUUUGUUGGACAAGCGCUUAGACUUAAACUACCCGACACACGACAAUGUUAAUAUCAAAAAUAAAAAAAAACAUAAAUUAAAAAGUAAGUUUUGUGUUAAAUAUAUUUUUCCUCUUAUAAAUAUUAACUCAACACGUUAAUAUUUAGUUAUAUUUAGUUAUAAUUAAUAAUUUUCUCAUUAUUUACUGAUUCAUUUAUUUUUAAAAUUUAUUUAAUUAAGUAUAAAUAAUUUUCACAUUUUAAAUUAAAAAAAUAUAAUCUAAUAAAACACAUUCAUAAUAUUGAUAUGUUCUUCGACUACAUUAGAAAUUCCUAUAAAAAUGCCAUGAUAAUAUGCAAAUACUUCAAUGGGCAACAGCUCAAAGUUCCUAUAAAAAUGGAAAACAAUGUCUACAAACAGAUGUGAUGGGUGUUGAGCCAUGAAUAUUCUUAUAAUAAUUAAUUAAUAAUGACUGAGAAUUGAGAAUGACUGGAGCAAUUGUUUUAUGAUUUUUUUUUGUCUGAUUGUAGGUUAUGACAUUGCACAUAUGAAAUAGUUUAGGACUGGUCGUGCCUGCUGCGUUUCAUGUAAUAAAUUAAGGUUUAAUGGUAGAUCCGCUCAUCUUCUUGUACGCUAGAUUCAUACACUAAGUGAAUUUACUAUUCAUAUUUAUUAUUAUUAUUAUUCAUAAAUAAAUAGAUCAAUGUAUAGACGGAAGUCGUCAAAAUGUGACCAGAAAUGAAAUAUACAUCUCUGUUCACAAACAGUCGGUCAGUCACGUAAUAGUAAAACACAUCCCAAGCAUAAUACCAGAAUGAUUCCGUUUCUAAUAGUAGAUGACUGCCGCCAUUGAUCACCACCUCAAGCUUUUCUUUGGACUUUUGUGCAUGACAUGACAGCACGCUUUAUCGUGGCUCGCACCCCAUUUCUUCAACCUUUUCGUUCCACAUCUUCAAGUUUUAUUUUCCAUCACUUGAAUCUUGUAAACAUAAACAUUUUUUUUUGUUUUUUUUUCGCAAAAUAUCAAUUUUUGUUUUCACAGAUCAAAGUGAAGGUAUUUUCUCCUACAAAGAAACAAUUUUUUUUAUUUGACAGAAAAAUAAAAUAUUCUCCACUCUAUGAGCAAGGUGACAUCAUGCACAUGCUGUUGCUAUCUUACUUGUAAGAAUCCUGUUUUGUUUGUGAAAAUCUCGUCGUCCAAUGAUACGUACUGCCAUAAAUGGGUGGAAAGAAAGGAACGUUAUUGUCCUAGGAUAUGUAAAUCCGACAAAAGAAAAGAAAUUAUUGUGAUAUAAAGAUCUUGAUUAUCAAUUAUUUCAAUAAUAAAAUUUACAUGAUCAAUUUUAAAAAACAAUUAAUUAUUGAUAUAUAUUAAUAUAGUAUUUCUUUUACUUUUCCUUUUUCUUUAAAGAACAUUAAAUAAAAAAAUAUCUUGGAGGCAGAAAAAUCUCGUACAGUACAAACAAGGAGAAAAUCCUCCCUCCCUAGUUCACUCUCUCCAUUUCCUUCCCUCUCUGUCUCUCUCUAAAUAAGCUAUCUUACCGUUAACACUGUUCUAAUCGUACAAGUAAAACCACAGACAAACAGCUCUCCUUCUGCUGCUGCUGGUGGUCUGGUAAAUAAAAAUGGCAGGGAAUGAUUGGAUAAACAGCUAUCUUGAAGCAAUUCUUGAUGUUGGUCCUGGCCUAGAUGACAAAAAAUCUUCUCUUUUGCUUAGAGAAAGAGGCAGGUUUAGCCCAACUCGUUACUUUGUUGAAGAAGUUGUUUCUGGAUUUGAUGAGACCGAUCUUUAUCGCUCCUGGGUUCGAGUAUGUUUGUAUUAUGUUUCUUUGUGUUUUUGUUGGUGUUUUUUUGCAUGCAUGAGUGUGAUUCUGGUUGUGUUUUCUGAAUACUGUUCGGUAUAGGCUCAGGCGACGAGGAGUCCUCAAGAGAGGAAUACGAGGUUGGAGAAUAUGUGCUGGAGGAUUUGGAACUUGGCUCGGCAAAAGAAACAGGUUGAUUCUGUUGUUGCUUAGUGUUUUUUUAGAUUAGUUUAAUGGCCCUUUUAGUUGUUUUCUUGAUUUUGGUUUAAGAUUUGAUAUUUGAUGUUUCUUUUUGGAAAUGUAAGUGGGUGUAGCUUAUUGGAAGCUUAGACGAUGUGUUUGUGUUGAUUUGAGUGUUGACUGGAAUUUUUUAAUGUUUGAAAGUUGUGAGAACUUGAUUGGAUGGAGAUUUUUGGAGGGGCUGGGGGGGUGUGGGGAUCUGGUUAUUGUUCUUAAAUGGGAUUAAUCUUGAAUUCUUUGUUUGAUCACAAGUUAUUGUUAGUUAAUUUGGUUUGGCUUUGUCUAUUUGCGAUAGCAACACGUGGCAGAAGACCUUUUUGGAGACGAUGAUCAUAUGGUAACGUGUAUGUUCUCAUACCAAAAAAUUGUCACUACCUAUGUGGUUAGCUUUCGAGAAAUGAUUUUGUUGAGAUAUGGUAGAAAUGUGCAAAGUGUAAACUCUUUGGUAAUAAAUUUUCUUGUGGAUAGUUGACAGUUGCCGAAAUAGAUUAUUGUAGCUGUUUACUUGAUUUCAUUACAAUUUGAUAUUUGGCAGUGGAAAUGGUAGUGGGCGUGGCUUGCAAGCUUGAGUUAAGUGGAAUUUCUUAUGUUGGAAAGUUGUGAACUUGAUUGGAUGGAUAUUUUUGGAGGGGAUGAGAGCGUGUGGGGUUGACUAUUUUUCUUAAAUUGGAUUAAUCUUGAAUUGGUUGUUCGAUCACAAGUCAGUGUUAGUUAAUGGGUAGGUUUUGUAUUUUCACUCGGAAGACACAUUUGGCACAGGACAUUGUGGAGAAGAUGAUCAAUCACAUGGUAAUUUGUAUGCUCUUGUUCCCCAAAAAAAAAAAAUUGUCACAUGUGAUGCGGUUAGCUUUCAAGAAAUGAUUUUCUCGAGAUAUAGUUUAAUAUUUAAAGUGUUAACUCCUGGUAAUAAAUUCUCUUGUUGAUACUUGAAAUGUGCUGAAAUAGAUUAUUUUUUGGCCAUUCUUUUUCCUUUUUAAGAAGUGUGAGGGGGUAAUUGUCUGAAUGGAUAGUGUUUAACAUCUAACUGUCUAGAUUUUCAAUGAACAAUACACUACUUUUCUUUUUUCUUUGGAUUUUUUAAAUUCUCAAUGCAUAGGAGAACAUGCCAUAUUCUGGCUUGAGGUUCAUUUUGUUUUGAGCUGAAUGAUUGACUAUAGUAUUUUGUGUCGUAGCUUGAGGGAGAUCUGGCCCAAAGAAAUGCUAAACGUCGUCUUGAACGUGAAAGAGGACGCAGAGAAGCAGUGGCUGAUAUGUCUGAAGACUUAUCAGAGGGAGAGAAAGGAGAUACAGUUGGAGAUCUAUCAGCCCACGGUGAUAGCGUCCGGGGCAGACUGCCUAGAAUCAAUUCUGUUGAUGCAAUGGAGGCUUGGGUUAAUCAGCAGAAAGGAAAAAAACUAUACAUUAUAUUAAUAAGGCAUGGACUAAACUUUAGUUCUCUAUCACACUUGAAUUUGCUUGUGAAGAGGACUGUUAAGGAAUUUAGCCGGUGUAGAAUUGUUUAUUACAAUAUAAUGAAUGGAGUUUUACAUUUCCCUAGCUGCUGAAGAGAAAUUGAUAGGAUAUUGUAUUUGUGCAGAUCAUGACACUAGUAUUUACUGCAUGAUUAAUGUGCAUGCUGAUCAUUUAACAUAUUUAACAAGUAGUAUUCGUGCAGCCUUCAUGGUCUAUUACGAGGUGAUAACAUGGAGCUUGGCCGCGAUUCUGAUACUGGUGGUCAGGUAAUAUUUUUGUGAAAGUUUUGGUCUGGAUAUAUGUGGCUCUCACUCACAUUUAUUGGUUAUAGGAUAGCUUCAUAGCUGCAGGAAUAGAUAACCAAUGAUCUUUGAUUUUUUUUCUAUUAGGUUAAAUAUGUAGUGGAACUUGCAAGGGCUUUGGCCUCAAUGCCAGGAGUGUAUCGAGUUGAUUUGUUAACUAGACAAGUAUCAGCUCCGGAUGUAGAUUGGAGCUAUGGUGAACCCACAGAGAUGUUGAAUAUAAGAAAUGAAGAUUUCUUGGAUGAGAUGGGAGAGAGCAGCGGCGCUUAUAUUGUCCGCAUACCUUUUGGACCGAAGGAUAAAUAUAUACCGAAGGAACUUCUGUGGCCUCACAUCCCUGAGUUUGUAGAUGGCGCACUUAACCACAUAAUUCGGAUGUCCAAAAGCCUAGGAGAGCAAAUUGGUGGGGGGAAGCCAGUCUGGCCUGUUGCCAUCCAUGGGCACUAUGCUGAUGCAGGCGAUUCUGCUGCUCUUCUAUCUGGUGCUUUAAAUGUCCCCAUGCUUUUUACUGGUCACUCACUUGGUCGGGAUAAAUUAGAGCAGCUACUUAAACAAGGCCGUCUCUCGAGGGACGAGAUCAACUCAACAUACAAGAUAAUGCGUCGGAUAGAGGCAGAGGAGUUAUCACUUGAUGUUUCAGAGAUAGUCAUAACUAGCACUAGACAAGAGAUAGAGGAGCAAUGGCGCUUGUAUGAUGGUUUUGAUCCUAUACUUGAGCGUAAACUGCGAGCAAGAAUCAGGCGUAACGUGAGUUGUUACGGAAGGUUCAUGCCCCGCAUGGCUGUAAGUACAUCUUUUUUUCCUGGUUGGGGUUUCAUUAAAGUUCCUUGCUUCUCAGUAGCAAUUACAGUACCAGAAACCAAGUAAGCUUGCUCUGCCCUAGUGCCUGGCUCAUGAAUCUCCGCUAGGUCAGGGUGGUUUUAAUGAGAUUCACACUCCAGAUCAAUUGAAUAUGUAGGUUUAUUAAUCUACAUCUUAAACAAUGAUGCUAGUGGUUGUAUAUGUCAACUUGGGACACUGAAAGUUUGAUGUGUUGCCCAUUAAACAUAAUGCAGCAUGGCACUAAGCACGAGAUUUUGAAUAGUGUUUAGUUUUCUAAGUUUUUCCAAGGGACAUGGUUGGGAAUCACUGCUGGAACAUGUGGUAGGAUGCACCCAAUCUUUGCUAAAUGUUCAUGUUUCCUGUUCUUGUCCUGUUCCAGGAGGCACCAUAACAAAAAAAAAUUCUAGUGAAGGGAACAUGCUUUAAUAACUUGCUGUGCUCUGCAGAUAAUUCCUCCUGGAAUGGAGUUUCAUCACAUUGUUCCCCAGGAUGGUGAUAUGGAUGGCGAAAUAGAAGGAAAUGAAGACCAUCCCUCUUCUCAUCCAUCGAUAUGGAUAGAGGUUUUAAUUUUUGGUUAUGGAUGGACAGUAUGUUUAAUUUUACCCUUUUCUACGCUCUUGUAAUUGGAAAAUUGAUUUUAGUUCGACACUUGCUAUGCUGCAGAUCAUGCGCUUCUUUACCAAUUCUCACAAGCCUAUGAUACUUGCCCUUGCAAGACCAGAUCCCAAAAAGAACAUCACAACUUUGGUCAAAGCAUUUGGAGAAUGUCGGCCAUUGAGAGAGCUUGCUAACCUUGUAUGUUAAGUUUCCUAAGAAGACUUGUUUGGUGCAAACAUGUUCUCCAUUGCUGCUUAGUUGAAUUUACUUUCUGUUGAGGUCAUUCUAUCUUUUUUAUUCCCUCUGCACUUCACUUUACAGACUCUAAUUAUGGGCAAUCGAGAUGGAAUAGAUGAAAUGUCCAGCACAAGUGCUUCUGUCCUUCUUUCUGUGCUUAAGCUUAUUGACAAGUAUGAUCUGUAUGGGCAAGUCGCAUACCCUAAACAUCACAAGCAGUCUGAUGUUCCUGACAUUUAUCGACUAGCAGCAAAGACAAAGGUAUGCCUUGGAUUUUACCAGAUUAAAAUAAAAAAUGACUUGAUUACCUGAGCUCGAGAUGAAAAAAUCAUAAAAUAGGUGAUAAUCCACUCCAUUAUCUAGCAUUCAGCUUACUCUGGCCUUUCCUCAUAUCUUCUUUUCUUUUGAUCCUUUCAGACUUCUCCAUGAGUGACCCGUGUUCUGCAUUUUACAACUGUCUCUUAACAAACUGAGAUUUCAUGUAGAAGAAUGGAAUUAUGCUUUGGUGUUUCAUGUUGCAAAAUGAUUUACUGAUGGCUCUCCUAGCAACACCUUAUAGUUAUCUAGUUUAGUGCAACUGUAUAAUUGACUCAACAUGCAAUUAUGAUUAACAGAAAUUUUAUGAUGCUAGUCUAAAUCUCAGUAAAGCAUACCAAGCAUCUUCAUGAGUGUCCCAUGUUUUGCAGUUUUCAUGUAUUUUUGAACUGCCGAGACUUAAUUUACAGUAGUGCAAUUUUUCUCCGGUGUUUGACAUUGUAGAUAACUGGAUGGGGGCUCUCCUAAUAACAUCUAAUUCUUAGCUAGUGUAGUACGAUUUAUAAUUGAUUAUCCAUCCAAAUAUGAUUAACAAAACUUUUACGAUGCUAAUCUAAAUUUCUGUAAAGUGUAUCGAGCAUCUUAGUUUCAUGUGGUUUGUCUGGUAUACCUGUGAGGUUGGGUAUCUUAUCAUGCUCGUUUGGUGUUUGGUUGCUGUAUUUUGGUCCAUUAUCAAAUGUAAUUUCCAAUAUCUAUCAUACUUCAGCUGCAUGACAUAGGCGGGUUCCUCUGUUCCUCAAUUUCUGUUUCCAAAUACAAAUAGAGGUCGGUAUAUGUUGUUAGAUAUGUAAAAACCGUCUGGAACUUUGCGCAGGGUGUUUUCAUCAAUCCGGCUUUCAUUGAGCCAUUUGGACUUACUUUAAUUGAGGUGCCUCUUCUUGAUCUGAUGAAGUGUUUUUCUUGAUGAUUAUUUAUUAUUUAUUAUUUAAGACCGAGAAUUUUUGCUGAGCAGGCAGCAGCUCAUGGAUUGCCUAUGGUUGCCACCAAAAAUGGAGGCCCAGUAGACAUACACCGGGUAUGCAUGCUCAUAAAGAAAAACAAAGAUAUCACUUUGCUCGUGUGUGAAUGAGCUUGUGUGCAUAAAUCUUCCAGUAUUGAUUGUAAACAUUUCCUCAGGUACUUGACAAUGGUCUCCUUGUUGAUCCUCAUGAUCAGCAGUCCAUUGCUGAUGCUCUUCUAAAGCUUGUUGCUGAAAAGCAUCUUUGGGCAAAAUGCCGUCAGAAUGGUUUGAAGAACAUUCACCAUUUUUCAUGGCCAGAGCAUUGCAAGGCUUAUCUUUCCAAAAUAGCCGGUUGCAAACCAAGGCAUCCACAAUGGCAAAAAAGUGAUGAUGGAGCUGAUACUUCCGACACAGAUUCUCCUGGUGAUUCCUUGAGAGAUAUACAGGAUUUAUCUUUGAACUUAAGGUUCUCAUUGGAUGGGGAAAAGACUGGAGGUAGUGGAAAUGAUAGUUCUCUAGGAUCUGAAGGAAAUGCUGCUGAUAAGAAGAGUAAAAUAGAGAAUGCUGUAUUGGCAUGGUCCAAGGGUGUUGUAAAGGACACACGAAAGGCUGUUGACCAUAACAGCAGUUCUGGUAAGUUUCCAUCAUUGAGAAGGAGGAAACAAAUCUUUGUUGUUGCAGUGGACUUUGAUAAUUUUGCCAGUCUUGCUGAAGCCACCAGAAAAAUUUUUGAGGCUGUUGAAAAGGAACGGGUGGAAGGUUCUAUAGGGUUUAUAUUGUCAACGUCCUUGGCCAUAUCUGAGAUAUGCUCCUUUCUGGCCUCAGGGGGGUUUAGCCCCAGUGAUUUUGAUGCUUUUAUUUGCAACAGUGGUAGUGACCUCUACUAUUCAACUCCCAAUCCAGAGGAUGGUCCCUUUGUCAUUGACUUUUAUUAUCACUCACACAUUGAAUACCGUUGGGGUGGAGAAGGGCUGAGGAAGACUCUGUUUCGCUGGUCAUCUUCAGUUAUUGAUAAGAAGGCUGAGGAUGCGGAACGGAUUGUAUCUUCAGCCGAACAACUUUCGACUGACUAUUGUUAUGCUUUUACAGUGAAAAAGCCAGGAUCGGUACUUUUCUUCUCUACAGUGACUUCUUACUGUUUGGAAUUAAGGGUGAAUUUAUUUGUUUAGACUUUGUUUCGUAGGCGCCUGGAUUAUUUUUACAUUAAGAAUUGCAGUACAAUGGUAUAUACAUGCAUUGAGUUAUAUCAUGUCUUUUGCAGGUUCCACCAGUUAAGGAGCUCCAAAAGGUUCUGAGAAUUCAGGCUCUCCGUUGCCAUGCUAUUUAUUGCCAAAAUGGGACCAGGAUAAAUGUAAUUCCAGUAUUGGCUUCCCGUUCCCAAGCCCUCAGGUAGGGUGUUUUGUGAAUAUAUGUUUUACAUAAUAUUGAUUUUCAUUUGAAGUAUGAAGAAACUGCAUAUAGCAAUUUGGAUGGUAAAUGAACCUUAGGCACACAGAAAAAGCAAUGUAGCCCCAAAAUUGGGAGCUGCUGUUGAGAAUUUAUAUAACCAUUUUUAUAAUGCAUUUGAGGUUUUGUUUCUUUCUUGCUUUGCAUGCCUGAUUGAACUUCGAACUCAAAAUCUUUUCUUUUCCUCUUCAUGAUAAUUUUUGAAAUUUUAUGACUCGAAAUUAUACUUCAGGUACCUAUAUGUUCGAUGGGGAGUGGAAUUGGCAAGUAUGGUCGUUUUUGUUGGAGAAUGUGGUGACACAGAUUAUGAAGGAUUGCUUGGUGGGCUGCACAAAAGUGUAAUAUUGAAAGGAGUCUGUAGCAGUGCAAGCAGCCAAAUCCAUUCGAACCGAAGCUACCCUCUCUCAGACAUCAUGCCAUUAGAGAGCCCAAAUGUUGUUCAAGCAGCCGAAGAAAGCUCUGCUAUCAGGAGUUCCUUGGAACAAUUAGGAUGUCUCAAGAGUUAAAAGUGUCAUUCUUCUUGGUUCAAACUUGUUCAAGAGCUUUGGUAUGUGGCUCCUAUCACAAGUCUUUGCCUGGUUGCUCUCAUGGCAAGCAACUCAUAAGCGUUCUCAUGAUUUUGAAUGCUUUAGAAGCUUGUUUGUGGGUUUCAAUCAGCUUGGUCGUUUCCAAUUUGUUAAUUCCCUUGUAAAGUCAAACCUAUGCUGCUCCUAUUAUAUCCCGAGUUUCAAUAGAAGAACACAGUCGCAUGUACCUUUGGCCUGGUCUCUACAGAACCAGCGGACGCCAGUAUAUAUUAUCUCAAAAGCUAAUACAUAUACUUCUCUGCCAGUGCCCUUCAUAAAAGUGCAGUCUUGUCUUAAAUGGGAGUAUAACAGUAUACUGUUUCCUGCUUUUGUUGUUAUGAUAUCCAGCCAGUUUUUCCAAUCGAUGGUGAAAGGAGCUUUUGUUAAGAAGGAAAAAUUGGAUGACAAUUCUGGAAUUGGUACAGUAGCUAAGAAUUGGAAAGCUAGACAACACAAUGAAUAGAGAAAGAGAUUGCUGAUGUUUGUGUAUUAAACAGUAGAUUUGCCGAAGCAUGCUGAUGGAUCAUAGAGAGAUUCCUCUGUUUCGUGUAUUAGUUGGUAGAUGUGCCAGUAUGAAUGCGUAGUCUUGCCUGAAGUGUACACAGGCGUAGUCAAAUCUGAAGUGAGGCUGGAAACUCACUAUUUGUCGGGCUGCAGGACGCUGACAGAAAUCUGUGCUCUCACCCUCUAACGUGGAUGAAGGACAGGCAAGCUUAUCUUGUUAGGCACGAUGUGCCAAAAGAAGUCGUGUUCUUGAAAAGUAAGUCAGACUCCAAAAUGUGCUGAGAAAAGUCGAUCACGUGCAAAGUAUUUUUCUGCUAAUCUGUAUUUGUUUUUUAAAAUAUUUUUAUUUUAAAAUAUAUUAAAAUAAUAUUUUUUAUUUUUAUAAUUUAUUUUUAAUAUUAAUUGAAAGAAGAAAAAAAAAAAUAAAAUUUUACUUUUUUUCAAAAGUGAAAAGCAAAAUCAAGCAGGCUCAGGCUCUAAAUAUUGUUUUAAAGUAUUUUUUUGUAUUUUGUCCCUGUUUGGGAGUUCAUCCCAAACUGUUUGCAAAAAUUCAAAUUUUUUUAAAAUUUUUUUUUUAUGUUUUUGUAUCAUUUUAAUGUGUUAAUAUCAAAAAUAAAUUAAAAAUAUAUAUUAUUUUGAUAUAUUUUUUUAAAAAAACACUUUAAAAAACAAUCGCUAUUAUAUUUUCAAACACCCUACGAGAAUCGAUCAGGUUUUUAUAGUGUGUUAUGCAAAGUAAAAUUACCUCAUUACCCCUGAAAUCAAAACUUCUAAAGCCGGUGCACUAUAAGGAAUGUUUUUGUCCUUUUGAUUUCAUAUUCGUAGUUAAAUGUCUAAAUCAUUCCUAAAAAGCUAAGUCUUCUUCAUCAAUGACAAAGGGUGUUUUGGUAUUUUUAUAAUAAUUAUUUUUGUAAUAAUAGUUUGGUGGGGGUGGCUUUAUUGAAGUUUUAAUUUUUAAUGUAACUUGGCUGCCAUCUAGAUAAAAAAAAUUUAGAGCUUCCUUGUUUGAAUUUAAGAGAGCAUUUAAAAAUACGGGCUAACUCGUGUUUUAAAAAGAUUAAUUUUUUAUUUGUUAAAAAUUAAUUUUUUUAUAUAUUUUAAAUCGUUUUGAUAUAUAUACUGAUUUUAAAAUGAUUUUUUAAAAAUAAAAAAAAUAUAAUUUUAAAGUUAAUACUCUUCUAUCAACGGGUUGGUCAAAUGUUCUCUCAUAAAGUUAAGAGUUGAAAUUUCACCCAUGUGGGUUAACCCAACAGAUGGCGGAAGCUGGAAGAAGGGCCUGGUUAAUGGGUCAUUUCCUAAAUUGCCACCACACCGAAAGAUGGAAACUUGCACCGGUGAAGUAUUUACCCCUUGGUCUUGCUUGCAAGGCUUUUUUAAAUGCUUCCGAGUGUGGUAGUUAUUUUUUUUAGAGUAUUUUUUAUUUUAAAAUAUAUUGAAAUAAGAAAUAAUUUUUUUUAAUAUAUUAAUUUUUUAAAAAAUUAAUAUAUUAAUUUUUUUAAAUGCUUCGGUGCGUGGUUGUUAUUUUUUUAUUGUAUUUUUUAUUUUAAAAUAUAUUAAAAUAAAAAAAAUAUUUUUUUAAAAAAUAUUUUUAAUAUUAGCAUAUUAAAAUGAUAUAAAAACACUAAAAAAUUAUUAAUUUUAAAUAAAAAAAUAAAAUAAAAUAAAAUAUUUUUAAAUCACAAAAAUAAACCGUACUUUCAACGCCUACUACGAGGCCUUCUUUCGUCACUUUCAUCAUCGGAUAAGUCGCCCCUUAAACGCAUGAAAGAGAUGGGCAAUAAUCAAUCUAACCACUAACCAACACCACCACUUCUUUCAAAUUCCAAUUCGUUUGACCUCUUAGAUUAUUUUUUUUUCGAUACCAGCAUUUUAAAAUAUUUAAAAAAAUAUUUUUAAAAAAUAAAUAAAUAUAUUUUUUAAAAAUAUCAAUAAAUAAAAGCUAUUGUAUUUCCAAAGUUACCCUCAAACGCCUAAACUAAAGAAACAUGAUCUUCUCCCAUCCAAAUUCAAUUAAAAUUUAAACAAGAAAGACAUUUAUUGUGAAUAUUUGUCCGAAAUAAAGCUUACCAUGUUCGACAAAAAAGUUAAAAUAUGUUUCUACAUGAACCCCAAGUCUCGUAGGUUGCAACAAUAUUUGGGUUCAAAAAACAAAAUUAAUGCGUAGGAAGAUGGGAAAACUUGAGAGGGCUAAAGAUGCAUGAUUCAUUAAAAAAAUAAAAAUAAAAAUAAAAAUAAAAUUAAACAAGGCUUAAGUGAGACUUGUCUAUCUUUACAAGCCAAGGAUUAAGGCAAGAAAGUGCUUGUUUAUAGUUAAUUAGUUUGGAGUGCCGUCUGGGCAAUGAAAUGAACAAAUAUUAGUCCAGAGGUGAGCUAACUAUCUAUGCCGGUGAGAUGGGUUGCCUAAUAUGGUCUUACCUAAGCCUAACAAUCAAAAACAUAUUCAUAUGAAUGACACACAUUUAUAGCUUCUCUUUGCCCAAAAGUCAGGAAAUGACGUAGAGUGUUUGAAAGUGUGUUAGCAGUUAUAGUUUAAUUUUAUUAGAUUCGGAAAUGUAUUAAAAUAAUAUUUUUUUAAAAAAAAUAUUAUUUUUGACAUUAACACAUCAAAACUAUCUAAAAACAUAAAAAAUUAAUUUUAAACAAAAAUAAAUUUAAAUUUUUAAAAAACACAGUUUUAACCGUGUUUUCAAACAAUGUCAUAGUCACCAUAACUGAAGUAACACUCAAACUGUUUCCCCACACAAAAAGUUAUAUGAUCGGUAAGUUUAGUGUUAUUUAACAUGGUUUGAUAUGUUAGUUUAAUCUAUCAACUCAAAAUCUAAUCUAAGUUUUUUAUAAUAAAAUAAGUGGAAGUUAAUCUAGUUAAAAUCAACACGACUUAAUUGAUCUAUUUAAAAUAUAAUAAGACAUGAUUUGAUUUAAAAAGAAAAUUAUGUUAUUUUAAUUUCUAUAAUAUUGUUUUUUAUAUUGCAGUGGUUUUUGUUUUUAAAGUUAUUUUUUACUUGAAAAAAUAUUAAAUUAAUAUUUUUUUAAAUAUUUUUUUUAUAAUUUUAAUAUACUAAUAUAGAAAAUAGAAAUAUUAUAAAAAAAUCAUUUUAAUAUACUUUCAAUUAAAAAUAUUUUUAAAAAUUACUAAUAAAGGUUCCAACUUUAUAAUAUCCUCUUUCAUGCUUUCAUAAACACGUCUGUACAUUAAUUAGGUAAUGCUGCUGUCCACCUAAAAAUCUUGUCUCGUAGUGAAUAUCAAGUGACUCGAUCAACUAAUUAAUAUUUUUGAUAAUGACUUAAUUUUGUUUGCACUGCACACACAAUUUUAGUUAAAUACUAAUUAAUAGGUGUAUCCAUGUUAAGAAAAAAAAAACAUGGAUACGUAGAAAAUUUUCAAUUAAAGAACGAAAAGAUGAUAUCCACGCCUAAUAAAAUUAAUUUAAAAAUGAUAUAAUAAAUCAUGAAAAAAAUUAACAUUAAUUAAAGAAUUUUAAUUUUUGUUUACUUCAAAUGAUUUUUUUAAAUGUUUUUGAAUUGUUUUGAUAUGCUGAUGUUAAAAAUAAAAUUUAAAAAAUAAUAUUAUUUUAAUACAUUUAAAAAUAAAAAACACUUAAAAAACAACUGUUAUUAUUAUCUCAAAUCUUAAACUCUCAUGCCCGUAACUUUAAACCCCUGUAAAUUAAUAUUUUUAAACUAUGAAUAUUAUUUAAUUAAGAUAUUAUUUAAACUUCAAAUUCAAAAUUGAAAUUGAAUUCAAAUAUUAAUUUAUCUUUCCCUUAAAAAUGAAGGUUUAGUUGAAGUAGUAAGUAGGUAGCAGGUAGAUUCCUUGUGUUACUGAUUAAACGUUGAAUCAACUAAAGAUUGAUGAUCCCAUCAGCCUUACUUUAAAUGAUUUAUAAUUUAUAAUAUCCGAGAGAUUUAAUCAAGGAUUUACUUCAUUCUUUGAUUUUUUAUAUUCAAAUCUUAGAGUUGGUAUUAAGAAAACUUUUUAAAUCCUCUUGAAUCAAUCAGUGUGAAAUGUACAUUUAAAAUUAAUUAAAAAUAAAUUUAAUUUUACUCGAACACGUAAAUCCAAUGAAGUAAAAAAAAUAAUUAUUAUCGAUGUAAGAACUUGAACGAAAAUACAGAGGCCCACGAGGUAGGUGAGCUCACAAUUUUUCAUAUGCUAUCAUUUAUACAGAUUUAUUAGUAUCCCAGCAACGUGUACGAUUAAUAAAACUGCAUUGCAUGCAAUUCUAACACCAAACGAGAGAGAGAGUUUCUAUAAUUAAAUGCUGCAGUUGGAUGGUGCAGUUGUGUUGAUUCAAAGAGAGAACGCAAAGACACAGAUAGAUAGGAGAAAAGACACAGACAAGCCUUUAUAUAUUAACCAAACAAGACCCUCAAGCUAAAAAAUCCGCAAGAGAGACAUGUUUAAGAUCGAAUUGUAAGUGCUCCUCUCAAGAUUGAAGACUUCAUGAGUGGGUUGAGGGUCUUGAAGAGGAAAGGGAGGGAAAAUAUGGAUCAAACCCAGAAGAAAGAAGCUGCAGUAGUGCUUGAUUCUUGCAAAAGCAGUGGAGCAAUCAAGAAGAUGAAGAAAGAUGAUGAGAGUCAAAGCAAAGGUAAGAAAACGUGUGAUUUAGUGUCGUUUUGGGAGCUGCCAGAGUACAUGAAGGACAAUGAGUUCAUCUUGAGUUACUACAGAGCAGAUUGGCCUCUCAAAAAAGCUCUCUUUAGCGUUUUUCGUUGGCAUAAUGAAACUCUCAAUGUCUGGACGUAAGUAAUUAUUAUUAUUAUUAUUUUCUGAUUUUGAGGGCCAGUUUUGAGCUUGAUUAUAGUGUUAAUUAGUAGUGAUUAGUUUUUUUAAUGGAUUUUUCUGGGGUUUAAUUGUUUUAUAAUUGAAAUAAUUCUGGGUUUUAAUUUAAUUAUAUAUUCGCAGGCACCUUCUUGGUUUCUUCUUGUUUGUGGGGUUGACUGUGGCAAAUUUAAUGCAAGUGCCUCAGGUUGCUGAUCUACUUGGCUUGUUUACCUGGUAAUUUGUUUUGGAAAUCUUUCAUUUUUUUUUCAAUAUGAAAACAUUGUAUAACCAAUUACUAAUUAUAAAGAAAAAUCCAAGAAUGUUAUAUGAACUCUCCAUUCUUCUUGUAAUAAAGAAGGGAUUGGAAGAAAUUUUAUAAUUACUUCAUUUUGAUUCCCUUUUCUUUGAUUUUUCUCUACUUUUUUUUAAUAGCAAUUACUAAUUUAUUUGAGACCUUGAAAAUUGGUAGUCAGUUCUAAUUAAACCCACUAAACCUUAAUUAAACAACUAUUUGGAAAUAAGCCAAAGUGGAAAAGGCAAUAAAGGGGUAGAAAGGAAAAUUAAUGAAUCAUUGGAGGACUCCAUGUUAGUGUCCUGCGAGUGGUCAUCACCACACAUUUUUGCUUUCAAACCCACGAACCAAACCUCUCCUGCAAUAAAAAAGAUAGCAUAAGUAAAAAUAUAUAGGAUGGAAGUAAGUGAAUUUUAUAGUUGUAGGCUUGUAGCAGUAAGGGCUGCCUUGAAAAUUUUAUUAUACACUGAUGUAUGCCAUGGUUUUUCAAACUUUGAUUCAGUUCUGAGUUUACAACUUCCAGUUUUUCACUUUUGCUAGACAUUAACGUGGGAAAGAUUCAGUUUUGAUGUUACAACUUCCAAAGUUUUUGCUUCACUUUUACUCGGUGAUGUUAAUAUCUGAAACCUUACGCUCCAAGAUCUAUGAAUUUUCAGAAAAAAGAUUCUCAUCCCUCAGCUUUAAGAAUAUGAUUCUCCCUUUGCUUAAAACACCAUACUUUUGAAACUUUUAUUUAUUAAAAACAAAGAAUUUAUCAACCAUCGAACGAAUAUAUAUAUAUUUUCUUACGAUAAAAGUUUUAAAAGUCUGGUGUUUUUAAGCAAAGAGAGAAUCAUGGCUUACAUCAGUAUAUAAAACUUUGAAGGCAGACUUUACUGCUACAACUACAAAAUUCACCUACUUCCAUCUUAUAUAUUUUUACUAAUGCUCCUCUUUUUUAUUGUAGAAGAAGUUUGGUUUGUUGGUUUGAAAGCAAAAGUGCGUAGAGAUAAUCCGCACACUACUAGACCACUAGCAGGACACCAACAUGGAGUCCUCCAUUGAUUCUGAUUCUGUGGUGAUAUCCUGUAGUUCUGUGGUUAAUCAACAUUCUAAUUCUGAAUAUAUAGAAGUCAGAGUGAAUGAGCAUGUUUUUAUAUCUUCACUCUUUUUUUUCUUGUUUGCUUUAUUUUCUUGGAAAAUUGAAGAUUGGUGGCUGUUUUUUUUUUAUUGUGCUCACAAUUUUUAUUUAUUUGUGUUUGAGCCAAUGCAUGACUGGUAAGAGGAAUUGUAGCUGUUAGGGUUUGCUUAAAUUUCUUAAGAUAAAUAUUUGUGAAAAUUUAUGUGUAUGGGUUCUUUUUUGAAGAAAAUUUCUGUUAUAUUAUUGUCAUUUUUUCAUCUCAGGAAAUCAAGAAAUAUUAUUGUCCAAGUAAAAUGCAGGAAAACUUGUGUUCCUUUAAAUCAUCUCCAUUUGCAAUUGAAAUUGCUAGCCUUACAAUAUUGUUUUCAGGUCAAUUAUUACUAGUGCACAAAGAAAUGUUUCUAAUGAUUCAAAGGAUUUCUACUUGGUAAGUUGCCUCAUAUUACAUUAGAGACACAUUCCUCUACUCCAGUUGUGAAUUAAUUUCAAAUUAACUCCAAAAAUUGUUGCAGGGGACAACAGAACUGCUUGAUCUGGGCCACAAUUUACCUAUGAAAACGGAUGUUUCAUCAUUAGGAAUGCCUGCAACCCGGUGGCCAUUCUAUGUAUUCUUAGGUGGCUCUAUGUUCUGCCUCCUGUCAAGUAGCGUUUGCCACCUCUUUUCUUGUCAUUCACACAGCUUGAACAUUCUGUUGCUGCGAAUGGACUAUGUCGGCAUUGUUAUAAUGAUCAUCACCUCUUUUUUUCCUCCAAUGUAUUAUAUCUUCCAAUGUGAACCACAUUGGCAAUUUAUCUACCUUGGUGGUAUCACAGUAAUGGGAAUGUUCACUAUCGUGACACUACUUUCUCCACCGCUAUCUACCGGAAAAUUUCGUGCUUUUAGAGCCAUGCUGUUCGCUUCCAUGGGAUUAUUCGGCCUUAUCCCUGCAGUACAUUCUGUAAUUGCCAAUUGGAGCAAUCCCAAGCGUGAUACCAUUGUAGCUUAUGAGUCUGCCAUGGCUAUAUUUUACUUGACUGGAACCGGGUUGUAUGUAAGUAGGUUUCCAGAGAGGUUGAAGCCUGGACUGUUCGACCUAACAGGACACAGUCAUCAGAUUUUUCAUGUUUUUGUGGUAUUGGGAGCAUUGGCUCAUUAUGGUGCCACACUUUUAUUCUUGGAGUAUCGUGAUCUUGUGGGAUGUGAAGUAAACCUAUAAUAUGUAUGAAUCAAGAUUAAUGUGUAUGUUGAAUGUUUUGGAAUUGUAAUUUCCUCUGAUAAAUCCAAUCUCUUGAACUGCUCUACCAGAUAAGACAAAGUAGCUGAGUGAAUCCAAAAUUUCUGCCCUUAUUUGGACAUUUGACGUGGUGCAUGAAUCGAAGGACAGCAAGCUCAAGAAAGUUAGUGGUCCAAGACUCGUAUCAGCUCCAAAUUCCAGAAAUUCAUAGGAAUCCCUUCUUUAAUAGGCUCCUUGUCUAUAAAAUAUAAGGCCUUUUGGGUAGUCGAAGUCCUUCAUUACACAAUACACAUACUUCACCUUGAAGUUAGGUGCCUCCAUUACAAGUUGAAUCAAAAUAAUCAUGUUCGAAGAGAAAUUAUUACAGGAAAAACAAUUAAAUUAUUCAAUCAAGGUUAACUGGGUACAUUCCCAAUAACUCUCGGGUCAAGGUCGUAUUUUUACUGUACUUCAAUGCCAUAAUUUGCAGGACCUGCAACACUUGUAUAGACUUAAUUUCCACUGCAUGACCAUCUUCAAUUCACAAGCCCUGAUGUUUUCUACUAGCCUAAAGUUUCUACAAAAGAAUUGCAUGGCAAAUAGUGAUUAUGUUUUUCCAUCUUUGUAAUAAAGAAGAGUGAAAGCAGAGAAUUCUAGGAAUAGAAGCUAAUUAGUAAGCCAUGGCAGUCUUUAACUUGGACAAAUUAUGCUUAAUACUUCCAGCUUUUCUUUUUCUCCUCCUUCUCUUUCCCUUGGGUGGUCAGCACCAUCUCACCCUACUCUUCUCUUCUUUCAAUCCCAUUAAAGCCAACAGCUCAACAACACCACUAGAAGCACCAGUACUGGAUGCAUUUGCUUCAACCUCCAUUAAUACAAGCAAUGAAGAUGAGCCCAAGACUCAAAAAGUGAGUAGUGUUGAAAGUUUUUAUAGCUUUAUGUGCAUGUUAGUGUUCAAACCCUUGCUGGUUGGUUUUUGUGAUCAUUUUUUCUUGACAUUUUCACUUCACAUUUUCUGUGAAUAGAAAAGGAGUAGCCUGGAGAGAGUAGAAGAGGGUUUAUCUAAGGCUCGUGCAGCUAUUCAAGAAGCUAUUCGUUCGAAGAACUACACAUCACACAAGAAAGAGACCUUCAUCCCCAAAGGAUCAGUAUACUGGAACUCCCAUGCUUUUCAUCAGUUGAGUCUCCAAGGAAGCUUUAAAUUUUCUCUUGAAUGUUAGGCAUUGCACUUCUAAAAUAUUUCUUGAAAUGGUAUUUGUGCCACAUUCAAUAGAUCAAGAUCGAUUGAAGUAUCUCUAUGGCUAUAAAAUUAGAAAAUUAUUAAAGGGUAAAUUAAAAUUCUUUUUUCAUCUUUCGUUUCUUUUAGGAAAAGCAGGGACAAUUGACCAUCUUUUGCCUGAUUGCCUUUCGGUAUAUUAACAGGAGCCAUAUAGAGAUGGUGAAGAGAUUCAAGGUGUGGCCCUACAAGGAAGGAGAGAGGCCAUUGGUCCAUGAUGGCCCUUUAAACAACAUCUAUUCCAUUGAGGGCCAUUUCAUCGAUGAGGUCGAAAGCAAGGGGAGCCCAUUCAGGGCCCAAGAUCCCGAUGAGGCCCAUGUAUUCUUCCUCCCCGUUAGUGUAGCUUCUAUUGUGCACUUCAUCUACUUGCCGAUCACGGCGGCGGCGGAUUACUCUCGUGAUCGCCUCCGCCGGGUUGUGACGGAUUACGUUCACAUUGUUGCCAAGAAGUAUCCUUACUGGAAUAGAAGUAACGGUGCUGAUCAUUUUAUGGUUUCAUGUCAUGAUUGGGUAAGCAUAAUACUCCUGCACCAUUAUGGUUUGGGGUGACUUUCCUGUAGCACAUUCUCCUAAGCUAAAACACUCGCACCGUCGUGUUCUCAUUUCAGGCACCUGAUGUAUCAAUCGCCAAUUCUGAGCUCUUCAACAAAUUCAUUAGAGUCCUCUGCAAUGCCAACAUCUCUGUAGGGUUCCGGCCACCAAGAGAUGUCCCUUUACCGGAGAUUUACCUUCCCUUUUCAGGCCUUGGUACAACCCAUAUGGGGCAGGCUCCAAACAACCGCCCAAUUCUAGCAUUCUUUGAAGGUAGGGCUCAUGGGUAUAUCAGGCAGGUCUUAUUCAAGCAUUGGAAGAACAAAGAUAACGAAGUUCAAGUCCAUGAGCUGCUUCCAAAGGGCAAGAAUUACACAAGACUAAUGGGUCAAAGCAAGUUUUGCUUGUGCCCUAGUGGAUUUGAAGUGGCAAGCCCUAGAGUCGUGGAAGCAAUUUAUCAAGGAUGUGUGCCUGUGAUCAUUUCUAACAACUAUUCAUUACCGUUUAGUGAUGUCCUUAAUUGGAGUCAAUUCUCAGUACAGAUCCCAGUUGAGAAGAUACCAGAAAUCAAGAUGAUCCUGCAAAGAAUUUCUAACAGCAAGUACUUGAGAAUGCAUGAAAGAGUCAAGAGAGUUCAGAGGCAUUUUGUGCUCAACCGACCAGCUAAACCAUUUGAUGUUAUCCACAUGGUGCUUCACUCGUUGUGGCUUCGGAGGUUGAAUUUUAGGUUGUCAGACUGAUCAAACUGUUCAUUUUACCUGCUUCUUCCUCAAAUUUUGGUUGAAACAUUCAUUUGCAUUUACAAAAAUAAGGUUGCAAAUAGUCUAUUUUUCACCUUAGUGAAUCCCAUUACCUAAAUGUAUGCUUCACUAUUCCAGGCAUGAAAUUCCAAUGAUGAUGAUAUUAUGAUAAUUUUUGUGGUUAUAAUUUUUUUAAAAAAUCAUUAUGAAAAAAUCAUUUUUACUUAGUUAAGGUAAAAUAUAUGUAUGGUUGAAAUAGUUAUUUGAAUAAAAAACAUAUCAUAAUAUAUUUAGUUGAAAAUGAUGUUGCAUGUAUAAUGAUUAAAAAUAAUACAAAUUUAUUUUUUAUAUUACAUUGUACAAUUAAUGGGCCUCACAUAGAAAUCAACAAUAACUAUGGUUAACAUUUAUCAAGGUUAUUACAUCUUAUAAUUAAUUAUUAUUAACUAGCUUGAUAAUAUUCUAUCAUAAAAAUAAUUUCUUAAACCACCCAAUGCACCUUUGGAACUAUAUUUUUAAUUUAGAAAUUAUGCAAAUUUUCAAAUAGAAUUAUUGCAACCAUCUAUAAGACCGUAGCAUGUGAGGCAUUUAAUUAGUGGCCCUUGCCGAUUAAAGUCAAACCUUAAAUCACAAGAAUGAUGCCUAAACGAGGUCGUUAUAGGAGACUUAAAUCAUUAUUUUUCAGAUAUAUAUGAUCUAAAAAAAAAAGAAUACCAUAUGAUUAGUUUUUUUUUUUAAUGAAAAGUAGUCCUUCCCAAUCUUCCCAUCCCCACAGCUUUUCCAUGGCAGGCUCAAAGCACAACUCUAAGCAAUUCCUUUAUUAUUAUUUUUGUAGCCACUUCAUGUAUAUAUUAUGAUGAAUGGUUGUUUUUUUUCUCUUCAUGUUGUAUAAUAUUUUUUCUGGAAAUUAUUCUAUAUUUAUAUCAUAAAGAAUUUGGAAAAUAAAAUGUGUGGACAAUCUGUAUAUAUAUAUUCACAAAAUAAAUAUAUUCACCAUUAUAUUUUUUUUCUCCAAAAGUAUCUAGGCUAACCCAAUAUGGUGAGACUCAAAUUUCCCCAGUCCAAUUCAUAUUUAAUACUAAAUAAAUGCACAAUCAUUUUAGUCCCUAAAAGUAUUUCACCAAGGUAAUUAAGACCCGCAAUUUCUGAUUACACAUAGGAUCAACAGUGGGCCUAUGAAACACAUCUAUUCCAUAGAGGGCCAGUUUAUCGAUGAAAUGGAUAAUGGGAAGAGCCCAUUUGGGCCCGUAAUCCUGAUGAGGCCCAUUCAUUUUUUCUACCACUUAGUGUGGCUUCCAUUGUUGAGUCCAUCUACUUGCCGAUCACCACCUAGCACCGUGAAAGACUGGUAAGAAUCUUCUGUCCUUGAAAAUCAACUAAAUGUAACUUAAGAUCCCGAACAAAAUGCAUUUUAAUCUAAUCAAUUAUUAAAUUAGUGGUGAUUGUACAUUUGGAAUAUUUAUGCAUUUUUAAUUUAAUUUCAGGCACCACAAGUCUCAAGAGAUGAUCCUGAGCUACACAAAAAUCUGCCCCCCAUUAAAACUCAGUCCAAUCUGCCAUGGUUUAUCUCCUGAUGAACGCAAGAUCUUGGCAUUUUUUGCAGGUGGGGCGCACGGAGACAUACGCAAAAUCAUGCUUAAACAUUGGAAGGGAAAAGAUAAUGAGAUCCAAGUUCAUGAAUAACUACCAAAGUAUCAAGAUUAAUUACAUGAAAUUAACGAGACAGAACAAGUUUUGUUUGUGCCCAAGUUCAUGAAAUUAAACCGUCCUGAAAUCUCUUUGAAAAAUUUGAACCUAUGCAACAGUUAGAUUUUCCUUUACUGCUAUUUUAAGUCAGAUUGUACCCAUUUGAACAACUUCUUAGCACGCUUUUAUUUAUCAGUUUGAUCAAUAAAAUCCUGAUAUAAUUGUUGCGAGUAAAAAAUUUCAUCGUAUUGGACAAUAUUCUCACAAAUCAAAAUGAAAGACCAUGAACAAAUUAGUAAGGAAAGAAAAGGUGUUUAUGUCAUACCACAGCACAGCUGCCUAAACAGCUCUGAUUUUCUUAUAUUGACAGCUUCUAUGUUCUUAUAUUGACAGCUUCUAUGUUACCAUUUAUAAACCAAGAUGCUCAAUUCCUUCAGUUUUUAAGUUUAAAUUUUUUUACCACAAUAUACCUUGUCAAUGUAGAGACGUGCACUGGCCUAAAGAAGCUAGAUCAUGGAUUACUCACAAUCAAAGGAAGAUAUAUAUAUAUAUAUACACAUCUUCAUAGAGCAUAACAAGGAAAAUUAUUUUUUCAAAAGGAGCUGAAUGCUUGGCAUGCUUCUUCUUCUUUUCGUAGUUGUAUCGAACAAUUUUUUAAGGUGUUAAAUUUCGAAUUCGAAAUUUCCUACAUCAAUUUCUUGCAUGAUUUAGUCCAAGUCAAAUAUGGAAAUCCAACUUUCCACUUUUCAACCCUAUCACUACGUUCAAUCUUGUGUAUAAAGAUACAAUUAACCGACUCCCAGAUAGGAAAAAAAAAAAACUUUCUAGCACCAGCUUGCCGCCGAUUCUAUGGGGCUGUAAUGAUUGAUUGUCACAAACCGUCACUCUAGCUUUACUUUCUUCUCAGUAAUUUACUUCUGUACUUAUAUAUUCUUAUUAACUCUUCGUUGGGAAUACUUCUGUAGACACCAUGAUUGCCCUCCCUCUCUCUGUGUGUUUAUGUUAGAAGAGAAGAAGAAAAAAAUAAACCGCCAUGGAAACUAUAUGUAAUGGCUCUAACGUUGGUUUUAUGCUACUGCCGGUUGUUGUUUUCGCUUCGCUUAUUGUCUACUUUGGUUCUCCCUUGAACCAGAAUACCAAUACUGUGGGAUAUUUUUCUUCGUUUUCUACAUCAAAUACUGUCUAUACUAAAGCUAACGAGCUUGUUUUUGAAAGCUCUCAACCCUCUCCGUCACAGCCACACCAGUUGCCAACGCAGGUUAGUCUCUUCGGUGAUUUUUAUUAUCCAAUAUACUUUGUUUUUUCUUGUUUUUUUCAUGAUUUGUUUUAGCACCGCUACAAGUGAUCAUGAACUGAUUAACGAAUAUUUUGAGAUCAGAUAUAUAUAGUGCUGUUCAUUGAUUUAUGUUUUUGGUUAUUGAUAAACAAGUUCUUAAUAUUCUGUGGGCAGAUAAAGAGAGGCAGAGAGAAGAUUGAAGAUGGUUUGGCAAGAGCAAGAGCAGCAAUUCUGGACGCGGCGCGGUUGAAAAACUACACAUCAUACAAGGAAGGAACUUACAUUCCGAAAGGGGUCAUAUACAGAAAUCCUUACGCUUUUCAUCAGUUAAGUUUUGCUAUCAAUCUACCUACAAACAUUGCCCUUAGCAUUACCCUUUUUUCUUACUUUCAAAUUGUAACUGUGAUAACCCUCCAAGAUUGAUUAUUUCUACUCGUUUAACAUGAAUUAAUGUGAUCACCCGUUAUAUGGAUUCCAAUUUACCUUCUUUUUUUUUUUCAUAUUUCAAUAUUUUAUGGACUCCAUCAUAUAAAAUUCCACGUACGUUGAGAGCAGCUACCUUGAGAUCAAAUUAAAGAUGAAGGAAGAAAUAAUGGCGUGAGAGAUUUUUUGGGCCACUAGGUUGUGUGAUGACACUAAUGUUGAUUGGAGUAAUUAAAUAAAUUUCCUUUAAGACAUUGAGUGGUGAAUCCACUAAUGUAUUACCUUGUAUAAUAUUCCUCAAAUUUGGUUAUUUAUGACGACGUUCUUGUAAUGCUAUAAUUUUGCAACUGUAACAAUGUCUAUUCAUUAUAGGUUGUGAAUUGAUAUGUUAUGCCUGUUACCCUAUCUUGGAAGUUAAGUUUUGUGGGAGUAGGUAGAGAUUAAUUUAGAGGACGAGGGAUGGUCCUGUUCCUCUUUGCAAAUUUUCUUACAAAUUAAUUGUACCUUGGAGUAGGGGCUGGGUUUGAAUGUGAUACUCAUGGCCAGUCGUAAUCCACAAGACGUUUACGACAUGCUAUGAUACUUCGCAAUUUUCAAGUCUUCAACUGUGGAAGUCUUGCCUCUUGCAAGGUGAAAAGAAAAGAAAAGAAAUAUAUAUAUAUAUAUAUCAUCCUCUAUAGGGUCAAAGAGGUCGUCUCCUGAAGCAAAAACAUGGUUAUGCAAAACCUUAAUACAAUCGAUAAAUUAAUAAUCUUUGUUAAAUAAUAUUUUUAUAUAAUACGUUGACUUGCAUAGACAAACACAUUUAUUGACAUCACUGGAUAAUGUUUAUUCAGGAGCCAUACAGAGAUGGAGAAGAGAUUCAAGAUAUGGGUUUACAAGGAAGGAGAGCGACCUCUUGUCCAUGGUGGACCCUUAAACAACAUCUACGGCGUUGAAGGUCAGUUUCUUGAUGAGAUGGAGCAUGGAAAGAGCCCCUUUGCUGCUAGUCACCCCGAUGAGGCACACAUGUUUCUCCUACCCAUAAGCGUGGCCUAUAUCAUCAGCUAUGUCUACAAGCCUAUUGUCACGUAUUCUCGUGAUGAACUGCAACGUUUGGUCCAAGAUUAUGUUGGUGUUGUAGCCGACAAGUACCCUUACUGGAAUAGAAGUAAAGGAGCUGAUCAUUUCUUGGUUUCUUGCCAUGAUUGGGUAUCAGAAAUCUCUUUUAUCUCUGCUGUCUUAUAUUUGUAACCCCAAUCUAAGAAUGUCGUAAAUUAAUGAUCUUUUAUUUGAAAUCUCAGGCACCGGAUAUUUCUGGAGCCAAUCCUGAUCUGUACAAGAACUUCAUAAGGGUCCUUUGCAAUGCCAAUACAUCAGAAAGAUUCGAGCCUCGAAGAGAUGUUUCAAUACCAGAAAUCAACAUUCCCAAUGGCAAGCUCGGACCGCCCCAUAAAGGCCUGCCCCCAAGUAAGCGUUCGAUUUUUGCAUUUUUCGCUGGAGGAGCUCAUGGUUAUAUCAGGAAGGUGUUACUGGAGAACUGGAAAGAUAAAGAUGACGAGAUUCAAGUCCAUGAAUACCUUGAUAAAAAGGGAACAGAUUACUUCGAAUUAAUGGGUCAAAGCAAGUUUUGCCUCUGUCCAAGUGGGUAUGAAGUAGCAAGUCCAAGAGUGGUGACGGCAAUUCAAUUAGGUUGUGUGCCUGUGACUAUUUCAGAUAACUAUACGUUGCCGUUUAGUGAUGUUCUCGAUUGGAGCAAGUUUUCAGUGCAUAUUCCGUCCGAGAAGAUACCUGAAAUCAAAACAAUCUUGAAAAAGAUUUCUCCGCAAAGGUAUCUGAUGAUGCAAAUGAGAGUGAUACAAGUGCAAAGACAUUUCGAAUUGAAUCGACCGGCUCGGCCAUAUGAUCUGCUUCAUAUGCUACUUCACUCGGUAUGGGUAAGGAGGCUCAAUGUCAAGGUGCCAUAUCGAUAAUUAAUAUGAUUUUCUAAAGAUUCUAACCCCUCCGUACGCACAUCUCAGAUUGUCUCUAAACUAGUGAGUUUUUUUGUUCUAAACUGUAUCAUAUUUUGGAAUUAACUUUCAAGUCUUCUUAAUUUCUUUAAAUUUUCCUGGAUAUCUUCUAGAUUUAUGUAUAAUUUUUAAAGAGUAUUUAUCUUUUAUAUCAGCAUAAUUAUAUUUUUUCAGAAUAUUAUAAGUCUAAGCACAUAUUCAUUAAGGCUUCCCACCAUCAUUCCCUUCUCCUCUAGUUAUUUUUGUUACGAGAGCCCAGCCUAGCUAGCUAGUUUGAUAAAUUAAUUAAAAAAAUCUAGAAAUCAAAGCUUUGCUCGAACCAAGUCAAUUUCUAGUUAAUUUAGAUAAAAUAUUAAUUCAAUCAAACUCAUUCAAUAUAACUGGGUUUUUAAAGUCGUUCAACAUGAUUGGGUUUUAAGUGAUUUGAUCUAAACUCAAUCUUGUCGGAAAAAAAAACUAUCAUUUUAAUGAAAAUGUUUGACCCGGCUUGAAAUAAAAACAAUAUUUUUGAAAAGGUUUCCAUUCAAAAGGUGUCUCGUGAUGCAAAGGAGAGGUAUACAAGUAGAAAGGCAUUUCAAAUUGAACAGACCGGCUCAGCCAUGUAUAUAAUAUGCUUCAUAUAUGCCACUUCACUAGGGGUAGUCAAGGCGGCUUAUUGUCAGGCUGCCGCCAUGCACCUGAUUAUUUGACAUCCAAAAGCUCUGACAUAAAUCGAUUAGAAAUAUUCUUAACUAAAAACUCUGACUCGUAAUUAAUUAGUACAGGUUUAUGUUAAUUAUUUUUCCUAAAUCGAUUCAAAGUUCAUAUAAUAAAUUUUAGCUUAACAUGCGUGUUAAAUAUUUAUUAUUCCUGAGAUAUUUAUUGAAUCCUUAUUAUUUCUCAAUUAAACACUUUUUUUAAUAAAUUAUAUAAUCAAAUGAUAUAUUAAUAUUUAUUUCUUCUAUUGUGCUAUUUUUUUUUCAAUUUAUGCGGUAUGGUGGUGCGUUCGGGGAUGAGUGUGUCCCACUAUGAACAUCGGUCACUAAGUACGUGGCCUACCCACUUGUCGUUUCUUAAUAUUUAUCCAUUCAUCAAUUCGACUAUUUUUGCUUUAAAAAUCUUGUUUUAUUAUUCAUUUAUAUUAUAUAGUUUGUUAAUUAAUGCAAUUGUAAAAAUAUGUUCAAUCCUUAUUGCCUAUACAUAUUCUAGUAUUUUUUUAAUUUUUUUUAAAAAAAUAGGGCCAAACCUUCUACAUUUUUAAUUUUAAUACAUGAUUUUACAAAGUUAUAAUAAUCCAGUCUUUGACUAUUAGUAACAGCUCACGAAAGGUUGCUUUUGUUGAAUUAUUAUUUUUUAUUGUUGGCUAUCUGUAAAUUAAAAAUGUUACAGAGAAACAUGGAAGAAAAAGAUUUUUUUAAAAAAAAGUGAAGAAAAUGCUGGGAAAAAUGAGAUCAGCAUUAGAUCACUCUAUUAACUAAUAACUACUGAUCAUGAGGGAUCAGUUUGAUAUUCAAAACUAUUAGGACUGAUAUGGACAAAUGGGCACGUCAUCAUUUGUAGUCGCUCACAACAUGCCACGUUUCGUUCAAGCCUCGUUUUUAGUGCUUAGAGAAGUACAUAUAUAGUAACUGAGCUCGGUCAAUUAUCCGAUGGUUCUUCCUGCCGGCUGGCGUCUGUUGGCUGGUGGCCGGCAGCAGCCAUGUCUUUGUCGAUAGGUGUUGGAUGUAUUUUUUUUUUUUUUUUUAUCGAAAGUGUUUUUUUUUUAUUUAAGUAUUGUUAUGAUAGUUUAUAAAUCAAGUAACACCAAGUUUUGUUUCCUAGAUAAUUUUAAAAAAUACAUCUUUUAUAUUAAUCUAAUAUAUUAAAAAAAUUAAUAAAAUCUUAUAUAUAAUAAAAUCAUAGUUAUUAAAUAUAAUUUGAAACUCAUUUUUCGAUUUGAAACUCAUUUUUUCAUAGAGGUAAACUUAAAUUUAUCUAGAUAAAUUAAAAAAAUAUCAAAACAAUAUUAUUUAUAUUAGAUUAAUUUAAUUAGGGGGGGUGACAUGUUAAAGGGCUAGUUUUAAUAUUAGUGGAUAAAAUAAGCAACCUAAAUAACUUAAUAUGCUGAGAAAAAACUUUUGAAAAUCUCCUCCUUCCAAAUAAAACUCGAGUACUUGUGUUUUACUACUCUAAAUUCUUUAAUGAAAACGGCUUCUUGUUUUAAAAGAAGAAUAUGCCCCAAAACGUAAAAUAUUUUUUAUAUAUUUCUUUAAUUUAUUUUUAAGAAAGUAAAAAUUGACAUGUUAUCGUCCUCCCAUAAUUAUCGUCAUCCUUGACGUUGAAACAUUUUAGGUAGAAUUCAUAAUUCACACCUCUAUUCCAUUAAUGGUCUUCUUAUUACCCUUGGAGUUAUUUAUAAUUUUUAUAUUAUUACCACUAGUUGAAAAGGGCAGAAAACCUCACCUUUUUCCAUCCUUGUAUGUCCCUUUUCUUAUUUUUCCCCAUCUUGUCCUCUCAAAUUUUACACAAGUGACAACAUCUCAGAAAAUAAAUUAAUUAAAUUAAAAAUUGGGCACAUCAUUAGAUCGUUCCAUUAGUAAUUAUUUAAUAAUCAGGGUAGAUUUUAAAUAUUUAAGAAAUCAUAAGGGUAUUGUUGAGAAUUCAAACCAAAUGAGUAUAAAUGGAGCACUGAUGAUCCUACAAGGACAAAAAUAUAUUUUAUUUUAUUCCUUUUAUUUUUUUUAAAAAAAACUGAGAUAUUUUAUUUAUUGCUGCAAUAAAAUCCCUCACCAUUACUCUCUCACAUGAAAAGUACACUUUCUACACUCAAGAUGACUACGCUAGCUCCAUCUUCUUAUAUACUGCUUGCUAAUCUUUCAUCCUUUUCAGGUGAAGCUUAUGAAGACACCUCGAUGCUUGAUCUCCUCCUGUGUCCAUACCAGCAAAAGAAACUAAACCCUGCAAAACACUGAAAGAGAAGUCUGAUGGCAACUUUUAAUAGCUCCGCCAUAAGUUUUCUACUUCUAUCAGCUCUUGUUUCCACCUUGUUUUUCCUAUGCUUAUCUCCCUUGAACCAAACUAUCAGAAUCUCUACUCCUUUGUCUUCUCUGUACUCACCUAAUUAUAGUAUCGAAGAAGCAAAAUCCAACCAUACUUUUGAGAGGUUUCAAUCAUUUCCUUCACCGACAACCGCUGUUGGAGAUGAAGAAAUCAGUGCUCCGAAGGACAAAGUAAAGCUUGUUUGAUGGUUUUAGGGUUUAAGCAACCACGCAUGCAUAGACAGCACUGAAAAGUUGUUCCCUUUAAUUUCUCCUUUUUUGACAAAUAGAUUGAUUUCUUGGUUUGUUCUUUGGUGGUGUUAUGGACAGGAAAAGAUCUCUGAAAGGCUUCCACCUUCACCUUCACCUUCACCAUCACCACUUCCAUUGCCAGUACACAACAGUUCUGCAGUUUCUAGCCUCCCCAGCAUUCCAGUAAUUACAAGACAUGAAAAGGUGAGCCUAAUUAAUGAUUUUUCACUGUAUCAAAUAUGCCUUGUUUUUAUGCAGUUUUUGUUUCUUGAUUUGUUGCAUGUUACUAAUCUUGUUCUUGUGCGUGUGACUCUACUUUUGGGGCAGAAAAAGACAGAUUUUGAGAGAAUUGAAGAAGGUUUGGCUCAAGCAAGAGCAGCUAUUUACAGAGCAAUUCGGUCACAGAACUCUUCAUCUUACAAGGAGGGGAGUUACAUUCCUAGAGGAUCCAUGUACAGAAAUCAAUAUGCUUUUCACCAGUUAAGUUUCAAUACCCUUUUCUUUUCGUGAUAUUAGCUAUAAAUUGAUUGAAAAAGGUAGGAUUUGUAUUCUAAAGCAACCUCUAAAUUCUUGCUUUGCAGCAAUAUUUAGCCAAUUGAUACCUUCAAAAACUAUAGUUAUAACAUCCGUAUUAACCUAGAUUACUCUAAUCUCUUAUUUUUCUUUUAAAAAAAAACAAAACAAUGUCAUUUUAUUAAAAAUAAAUAAAUUCUAAUGAUCCUACUAGACUGCCGGCGAGGCUGCAUCUUAUAAGCAAAGCUGUUUUCAUUUCUGAGAUUUCCUCCGCUGCAUAAAUUAUUUUUUCCACUUACAGAAUUCAAAAGUGAACAGCGUCAUCUUUUUCUACUUUAUAGAAUUCAUCGGUAACAAUGAUGAUCCCCCCCCCCCUUGUUCACAGUAUUAAGUUUAAUUUAGUCACUGAUUAAUUAUAUUAUUUUUAAACUAGGUUCUGAAAUCAAUUUAUGGAAAGUGCUAAAGGUUUGUGCUGCUUACAGCCUCUCACCAUUGUACCUUAACCUUUCUCUUGGGAGUGCGAUCAAGUAAAAUUAUGAACUUGUUAAACACUUUCCAAACACGCCAUAGUAGCUAGCAUGAUUCCUUGUCACGUGACACACUUAUAUAAUAAUGUCGCCCUUUAAUUGAUUCUGCUUUUGCUCAAGAUUGGCAAUAUGCUCAGUUCUUAGGAGUGUAAUCCUGCAUUAGCAAUCGAAUGGAUUCGGGUCGGGUUGUGAGGGAGGGAGAGGAUAAGGGAAGGGAAGAUAAAGAGAAAGAGAUAUGUUCCACGUAGGCAACACUUUGUCAUGUUGCUCAUAAUGACAUUAGACGAUCUAUGUGACUAUGGCUAUGCCACAAAUUAAACGUGCACAAGACACAUUUUCAUGUGCACAUGUCAUGCCAGCAUUGGCGCAUAAUAAUGUCUAGUGCGUGGAGACUGUGGGAGGAUAGAGGCGAUGCUGUGGGGUUUUAGAAGGCCAGAUUCAUUUAAUCGUGUACGUUAAUAGUACAGGCAGGGCCGGUAAGGUUCAAGUAAAUAAUGACUCGGUCCCUAUACUCUUAGUGAUAUAACAACUUGGUCCCUCUAGCUUACGAAAUCAUAACUUAAUCCCUUAAUGGCCCAUAAUAUUGUCUAGUAGAUUUGUUUCAAUUUAUUUGCCCAGCGAUUGGGACGUUUUAUAUAAUCUGUGCCUUAUCUCCAAGUAAUUGUAUAAGAAUAAUUGAGAGAUUUUUGUAAGAAAGCUUCGAUGUGAUUGAUUUAAAAGAAGAAAGAAUUUAGUAUAAAAAAUCAAAAUGCGACCCCAACGUUGCUUGUCUGCUGGCCUAGUAUGAUUAAGUGCUUGCAAUCAGACAGAAGACAAAACAAGUUGACGUAAUUAAUACGUACACGAAAUCGAGACUAAAAUUAUAUGUUUAUACCGUUAGGUCACAUCGACACAGAAAAGAUAGAAAAAUUAAGGAUAGAAAUAUAAGAAUAAAUUUAUUAUUAUUACAGUUUUAGAAUAAAUUUUUAUAAUUUUAAAAUAAAAAUAUAUAUAUAGUGGACAUGUAUUCUUUGUUCCCAUUAUUUGUCUUUUAUGUUUUAAAAUAGUAAUAUGUAAUUAAUUUUUAAGAUUGUAAUUAAUUGUUUAGAGAGAGUGACAAACAAUAUUUAAA
rnacentral:lncRNA from 1 species